CGAGGGACCCCUUGAUGAUAUCUAUGCUACUGCUAUCAGGAACUGUGAUCCGGAGGGUCCUCUUAUGCUGUAUGUUUCUAAGAUGAUUCCAGCAUCUGACAAGGGCAGGUUCUUCGCCUUUGGUCGUGUCUUCUCUGGGAAGGUUGCUACUGGUAUGAAGGUUAGGAUCAUGGGUCCCAACUAUGUCCCUGGCCAGAAGAAGGAUCUGUACGUCAAGAGUGUCCAGCGUACUGUUAUCUGGAUGGGAAAGAAACAAGAGUCUGUUGAGGAUGUUCCUUGUGGUAACACUGUUGCUAUGGUUGGUCUGGAUCAGUUCAUCACGAAGAAUGCUACACUCACCAAUGAGAAGGAGGUUGAUGCAUGCCCAAUCAGAGCAAUGAAGUUCUCUGUCUCCCCUGUUGUGCGCGUUGCUGUUCAGUGCAAGGUUGCCUCUGACCUACCCAAGCUCGUUGAAGGUUUGAAGCGUCUGGCAAAGUCUGAUCCUAUGGUCCUCUGUACAAUUGAAGAAUCUGGUGAGCAUAUUAUUGCUGGAGCUGGUGAGCUUCACCUUGAGAUUUGCCUGAAGGAUCUGCAGGAAGACUUCAUGGGUGGUGCUGAAAUUAUUGUUUCUCCUCCUGUUGUCUCUUUCCGUGAAACUGUUCUUGAGAAAUCCUGCCGAACAGUCAUGAGCAAGUCCCCCAACAAGCACAACCGUCUUUACAUGGAAGCCCGUCCCUUGGAAGAGGGUCUCCCUGAGGCUAUUGAUGAGGGCCGCAUUGGUCCACGUGAUGAUCCCAAGGUUCGCUCCAAGAUCCUCUCUGAGGAGUUUGGUUGGGACAAGGAUCUUGCCAAGAAGAUUUGGUGCUUUGGACCUGAGACCACUGGCCCGAACAUGGUUGUUGAUAUGUGUAAGGGAGUGCAGUACCUCAAUGAAAUCAAGGAUUCUGUUGUGGCUGGCUUCCAGUGGGCCUCAAAGGAGGGUGCACUGGCUGAGGAGAACAUGCGUGGCAUCUGCUUUGAGGUCUGUGAUGUUGUUCUUCAUGCUGAUGCAAUUCACAGGGGUGGUGGCCAGGUCAUUCCAACUGCCAGGAGGGUUAUUUAUGCUUCUCAGCUCACUGCCAAGCCAAGGCUGCUCGAGCCAGUUUACCUUGUGGAGAUCCAGGCCCCAGAAAAUGCACUUGGUGGUAUCUAUGGUGUUCUGAACCAGAAGAGAGGGCACGUGUUUGAGGAGAUGCAGAGGCCUGGUACCCCGCUCUACAACAUCAAGGCUUACCUCCCUGUCAUCGAGUCCUUUGGGUUCUCCAGCCAACUGAGGGCUGCAACCUCUGGCCAGGCGUUCCCUCAGUGUGUGUUUGACCACUGGGACAUGAUGGGCUCUGAUCCUCUGGAGGCCGGCUCCCAGGCUGCUCAGCUGGUGUUGGAUAUCCGCAAGAGGAAGGGUCUCAAGGAGCAGAUGACCCCUCUUUCUGAGUUUGAGGACAAGCUCUAAAUUUUGGUGGUUUGUGCUGCUGUUACCCAUGCUGGUUUCAUGGCCAAUUCGUCUACUGUAACUGGAACUACUUUCAUGUUUCAUUUCCUUUAGUUGUCAGAUGCAUCUGUUUUUGAACAUCAUUGGCCAUAUGGCAUUGUGCUGCUAAGACUGUAUUUUGUUAUCCGGUUGUGAUGUAACAGAUGAAAUAGAGUUCAUAUCUGUGGUUUAAGUGGUAGUAUUUGCGGUAUAAUGCUUGUUUCUACUGCCUUCUGAAAGCCUUUCUUUUGCCUAACGGUAGAGCGGAUUAACUAAGGGUGUUGUAUCAUUUGAUUCAUUUGAUCCUUCAUCAAGGAUGAAGCCAUCUCCUCAUGGGAACACAUUAUUCUACUAUUAGAAGCGAAGAUGUAACAAAUUAGUUGAAAGAGGAGCGUUGAAAGAGGAGCGAACCAUACUUUACUAUAUGGUAAGUAGCAAAUUAGUUACAAGUAGCAAAUUAGUUGAACUUUAGGAUCAUGCACGUUGAACCUUGUUAUCUAGGAUCAUCCAUGGAUCAUGCACGUUGAACCUUGCUAACUAGGAUCAUGCACGUUGACCCUUGUUAUCUAGGAUCAUCCAUGGAUCAUACACGUUGAACUUUGCUAUCUAGGAUUAUCCAUGUAUGCAUCAUGUAGUGCAUCUGUGCAUGCAAUAUUCUGUUAUCUAGGAUCAUCCAUGGAUCAUACACGUUGAACUUUGCUAUCUAGGAUUAUCCAUGUAUACAUCAUGUAGUGCAUCUGUGCAUGCAAUAUUCUGCCCUUAGCUUGGUUUUACUGCCGAUAGCUAUAUAGUGCAUUUAAAUGCUUUUCUUUUGCCCACAGCCCCAGAGGUAGAGAGGACUAACUGUUUCUGUUGCUUUUUUUUUUUACGGUCUACGGGAGAGAGUGUGUGUGUGUGUUGGGGGUGGGAGCGCCCCCACCUGAUUUUCAUUUCAUUGAGGGUCUGUUUCAGGCCAAACGCUGUGUAGAUCAAAAGGAGAUAGAGAGAGGCAGUGUACAUCUGGUUUUGUGAUUGUUUUACAUCGAAGCAAAGACAGUGCACCAGGAGUCGGUUAUCACGCGAUCCUCUAUGCGAAACCGCUCGCGCCAAAGUCGGGCUUCGUCUCGGCAUGCCGACCAGAAGCGUUGUUGAGAUGGAGCGCAGCGCUGGAACACUGGGUCAUUCCGGUGCUUCCAUAACACCCACGGCAGAAGGAGUUUUUUCUUGCUUUGCCUUUAGCUUGGCUUUAAUCCUGUUAGCUAUGCCUAUGUAGAGCAUUUGGUCCUUCGAAUUUUAAAUCGAUGUUGAUUUUGAUUGCAUGCCGUCAUUUUGGGUUGGUUCCAACUAUGUUUUUAAUAUCAGUCGUUCUGAAGGUUACUCUGUUGACACUUGAUUGCAUAACCGUUUGCUAGUUUUGCGUGCAUCCGCGUGCUGGUUCGUCUCAUCAAGAACUAGCCGUUGCUCAAAACUCUGGCUUUCAGGCAUGGCCGCAACAGCCUGGAGGAUGUGUUGCUGUUCUGUAGCUGUAGUGUGCGUCUGUGCUAGUGGAUGCAGGGAGCCAGCGACCUAAAAGGAAUCGUGUAUUAGUGGAUGCAGGACAUCGGCCGUGGCGGCCUGGGGGAGACGACCACGCUCGACAUGAACGGCAGUAAGUUCAAUGGCACGAUCCCGGCGUCGCUUACCGGCCUAUGGAGCCUCCAGUAUCUAGAUGUGAGCGGCAACCGCUUCACCGGCACCAUCCCAGCGUUGCUAUCUGGACUCCGGAACCUCCAGCUUCUCGGCCUGAAUGACAACCUCUUCACCGGCACCAUCCCGGCGGACCUCGGCGAGCUGGCGAGCCUUCACAUGCUGUAUCUGGCAAACAACCAGUUCGAUGCAGGCCAGCUGCCGUCGUCGUUCAAGAACCUGACCAACCUGGUCAGCCUCUGGGCGUCGCAGUGCAACCUCGUCGGAGAGUUCCCGAACUUUCUUUGGAGCCUGAAGGAGCUGCAACUAUUGAAUCUGUACACGAACAACCUCACCGGCAACUUGGUGGUUGAUGGCCUUGUUGCGAGGAACUUGACAGUAAUCGACGUCUCGGAGAACAAGAUCACUGGAGUUAUCCCGAGUGUUUGGGAGCUUGGAGAACCUCAGAGACUUGAACUUCUUCAUGAACAACUUCUCCAGCGAGAUACCAGCCAGCAUCGGCCGGUUGCCCUCACUGACGAGGUUGAGGCUCCACACCAACAUGCUUAACGGCACGCUCCCACCGGAGCUCGGAAAGCAAUCGCCGGGCUUGAAUUAUGUUGAGGUUGAUUACAAUGAGCUCACCGCCGAGAUCCCGGAAGGGCUGUGCACUGGAGACAACCUCCAGCACCUCACCGCCAAGAGCAACCAAUUGAACGGCUCCAUCCCAGCAGGCCUUGCCAACUGCGCCACUCUUGGAACCCUGUCGCUGGACAACAACCAACUCUCUGGCGACGUACCAGAGGCUCUGUGGACGGCGACGAAGCUUUACCAGAGGCUCUUCCGGCCACGGUGCAUCUCAACCUUUCGACGAUACUCAUAGGGAACAACCAAUUUGGUGGCAACAUUCCGGCUGCACUAGCUGCGCUCCAGGUGUUCACCGCCGAGAACAACCGGUUUUCUGGUGCGAUACCGGCGAGUCUUGGCGACGGCAUGCCGCUGCUGCAAAGACUGAACUUAUCCGGUAACCAACUGUCCGACGGGAUCCCCAGAAGCGUUGCUAAGCUAAGCCAGCUGACGGAAAUGGACCUGAGCAGGAAUCAGCUCACCGGAGGCAUACCGGUAGAGCUCGGCGCCAUGCCGGUGUUAAGUGUCCUUAACCUGUCGUCGAACAAGCUCUCCGGCAACGUGCCGCAGGCGCUUGCGAAGCCGACACUCACCGCCCUAACCUGUCCUCGAACCAUCAGACCGGCCAGGUCCCGGCCGGGUUCGCCACCGCGGUCUACGACACCAGCUUCCUCAACAACCCCGGCCUCUGCACCGCCGCUUGGGGACCUGGCUACCUCACGGGCGUACGCUCCUGCGCCGGUGGAUCACAAGACGGCGGUUCCUCCGGAGGCGUGUCGCACGCCCUGCGCAGGGGAACCUCGCCGUGGCGUUCGCCUUCUUCGUCGUCCGCGACAUCAAGAAACGGCGGCGCGUCGCGGAGCAAGACAACUGGAAGAUCACGCCUUUCGUCAAAGAUCUGGGAUUCGGUGAGGCACCCAUACUCCGGGGGCUGACGGAGGAGAACCUCGUCGGGCGCGGGGGAUCGGGGCGCGUGUACCGCGUCGCCUACACCAACCGGCUUAACGGCCGAGCCGGCGCGGUGGCCGUAAAGCAAAUACGGACCGCCGGGAAGCUCGACCAGAAGCUGGAACGCGAAUUCGCGUCAGAGGCUGGCAUCAUCGGCAACCUCCGGCACAACAACAUCGUCAAGCUCUUGUGUUGCCGCUCCAGCGCCGAGUCCAAGCUCCUCGUGUACGACUAUGGACAACGGCAUCCUGGACAGGUGGCUCCACGGCGACGCCCUCGUCGCCGGCGGGCGCCCCAUGGCGAGGGCGCGGUCCGCGCGGCGCGAGCCGCUGGACUGGCCGGCGAGGCUCAGGGUGGCCGUCGACGCCGCGCAGGGGCUGUGCUACAUGCACCACGAGUACGAGCCGCCCAUCGUCCACCGCGACGUCAAGACGAGCAACAUCCUGCUGGACUCGGAGUUCCGGGCCAAGAUCGCCGACUUCGGGCUGGCCACAGGAUGCUGCUGCAGGCCGGGGCGCCGGAAACGAUGUCCGCCGUCGCUGGCUCGUUCGGCUACAUGGCUCCUGGUAAGGAUUCGAACUUGCUGCUUUCAGUGAAUUUCUGUCCCAUUUCUACAAAUGCCACGUGUUCUCGUGUUGCCGGACCUUAGAUUGGGCCUUUUGAUGCUUAUCUGCAGAGUGUGCUUACACCAAGAAGGUGAACGAGAAGGUAGACAGCUUCGGUGUCAUUCUCCUGGAGCUCACCACCGGAAAGGAGGCCAACAACGGCGGCGAGCACGGCUGCCUGGCGGACUGGGCACGGCGCCACUACCAAUCAGGAGGGAGCAUCGCCGACGCCACAGACAAGAGCAUCAGAUACGACGGGUACUCUGACGAGAUCCAGGUUGUCUUCAGGCUCGGCGUGCUCUGCACCGCCGAUAUGCCGUCGUCGCGGCCAACCAUGAACGACGUGCUGCAGAUCUUGGUCAAGUGCAGCGAGCAGACGUACCACAAGGGCAAGACGGAGCGUGGCCCAGAGUAUGAGGUGGCUCUUCUACCCAAACGCGGCAGUCGCCGGAAACAGCUUUCAAACGGCUCGGGGAUUUACAUCGAAGAGAAGAUGACAGCAUUGUCUGAAGAAAGGAACUGACCACUGCAUAUGCCAGUAAGCAGCUUGUGACAUCGUCAGUGAACUGCUUGCUAUAGUGAUACUUCACAUUUUAGCAGAGUACAGCGGAGAAUUAUGCCUCUAAUCUUUUUUUUUCUGAGGAGCUAAGUAUCUUUAUAUUAAAAAGAGAAUAUAAAUAGAAAAAAUCAGUCCAUUGGAAGCAACCACUCUAGCUCACCUAGGAGAAUAGAGAGAUUGCAUAAACAAGCGAAGAAAAAACCGUCACCAGACCUUGACCCUGCACGGCUGGACUAGGGACAUGCAUAGUAUAGAGCAGGGCUUGUGGUUAGCCAAACCGUUCUGUGUAUUGAUACUGCAAAUCUGUAUUAAAUCACACACACAUUAUACGUUCCGACAGAAGAACUAGCAAACAUUACGAUUAUACUCCCUCCGUUCUUAAAUAUAUAACGCUAUUGACUUUUUCAUUUGUUUGACUAUUCAUCUUUUCUACAAAUAUUUUUGCAAAUAGAUAAAUCUACGAGUUAAAUCUAAAGUACAUUUCACAAUAGUCAUAAUGAUACACAUUUUACUUUAGUUAACUAACUCAUUCAAUAGAUAUUGAUGGUCAAAGUUGGAGUAAAAAGCCAACAGCAUCAUAUAUUUAAGAAUGGAGGGAGUAAUUUAUUUCUGAAAUAAAGGCAGGAGAUGGAGCUCUGCUUAUCCAUUCAGAAAUUAGUACGAUUGAAUGAUUUUGUCUCCUUCCAGUUUUUAUUGUAAAACACAGAAUAUUACACGGAUAGGCACUGAUUGUUAUCCGGAAGAAAAUGAAUUUUUAUAUUUCAAAAGAAAAGGCCCAAUUUGCACCCUCUAGCUAGCACGAUAAUCCAAUUUUCAGCUAAACUGACCAUGGGCCGGCCCAAAGGCACAGGAAUUUGGCCCGGUCUAGGCAUGGCGGCCGUCGUGCUCGUGCUAACCCGACCCACACCAUGGGCCGUGCUUGGGCCGUUGCCUCAGCCCACGUACUGGUCCGGCACGGCCUGCCCAUUUGGCCCGUCGGGAUUAAGUGGGCGGCCCAUCCUAUUAAGGCCCACUCGACCGCAUAUAAAACCCCCCACCCCCAAACGGCCAAACCCUACCUUCCUCUUCGUGUCCCGCGCCCUUCGCCGCCGUCACCUCCCCCGCGCCCUUCGCCGCCUCUCGCGCCCGCCGGCCGCUCACGCCCUCCGCCGCUUCCCCCCGCCGCCUCCCUCACGCCCUCCGCCGCAUCCUCCCACCGCCUCCCUCGUGCCCUCCGCCACCUCCCGCGCCCGCCGGCCUCUCGCUCCCCUGCCACCUCCCCCGCGGCCCUCUGCCGCCUCCUACACCCGCCGGUCCCUUGCCGCAAUUGGGGAAGAUGGUGGCCUGCACGGCGGCGCGCGCAAACGUCCUGUCGUCCCUCGGCGGUGGGAGCUGCGGCACGAGUGGGCGCCUGGGCAGAUCCGGGAAAGGUCUAUGGGCGCCCUGACGACGAGGUGGUCGAAGUCAUCGGGGCUAUCGAACUCGACGACGACAGGCGCUACGGGCGUAUGAGCAGAGGAAGGGUGAAUUCUGUGCCGCAGGCUGGCACGAGCACGGUGAGGCCGUUAAGGCCUGCCAGGCCAGCGUGCCAGCACGGCCCACCUAAGAAGGCUGCGGGUCAUGCCUGGACCGCUCCUUCGGCACAUGGGCCGGCACGGCCUGGCACUAUUACCGUGCAAGCCUAACCGUGCCGGGCCUAACCGUGCCAGGCCAAAUCGUGCUCGUGCCAGGCCGGGUUGGGCUACCUGUUUGGCCAUCUAUACAUCCAACGGUUGAAACCAGAUAAAUUUUAUCCUUUAGCUGGUUUCAAAGAUGUUUUUUUGUUUUAUUAGACAUUUAAAAAAAAUCUGAUUUAAUCUUGUUGGGGGGAAAUAUUAACGAUCCCCUAAAUACCACUUAAAGGAGCAGACGCGAAGGCCCGGGCCCACCUAAGCAUAAUCAAAACUCCGCCUCGCCCGACCGCGGCCUCAGGGUCAGGAACGCCCGACCCCCCUCCACGAGGUUUCCGCCUCGUCCGACUGCGGCCCCAGGGUCGAAGGCGCCCGAUCCCUCGCCACAAGGUUCCGCCUCGUCCGACCCCAAGCGCAGGGGUCGGGCUCGCUGGGGCCCCCAGGGCAGGCAUCCCCCUCGGAUGUGGACCAGGUGGGCAAGAUAAACAAAUCUUGCGGGUCCCCCCCCCCAUCGGCCUCGUCAUAAAUGCGCUGCGGGCCUGGCAGAGGGAGGAAUGACCACGCUCCUCACACAACCCGCCGCAAGUACCCAUGCACGACCAUACUGUACAAGCUACAGCGCUGGCGGCUCACUCCCAUUCGCCGCAGGGUACUCAUGGCCUGCGCCGACCGGAGCGGAGGAGAGACUCGCCUGUCCUCGAGCCCCGCGCACCCUCGGGUCCCGUGCGCCUGGCAUCUAGGAUGUGACGCCCUCUCUCCAGGAGCCAUCAUCAGAAUGGCAGCAUCCACCGUCCUCCCCAACGGACACCGGGAUAACGACGAAACGCCCUCAUCAUAACCCGACGCCUACGGAUGCCGAAGGAGCUAUCUGUAGGGUGCAACGACAGUUGGCGCACGGCCGCCUCCCCCUCCGGCAUGCACGCCGGCGCUCGCCAGGAGCCGGCGGAGGCGUCGGGCGUCUAGGAACUUGUUCCUCCCAUCCUGCCGUAUUUUUUACCGUACUACGUUCACAUUUUACGGUCCUCUUCGCCCGAUCCCAACUGUAACUCUGGCCACUCCCCUUGCGAUAUAAAAGGAGGAACACAGGGCCGGAGGGGGGGAUCGGCUUCUUCCCCCUCAAGCCACAGCAUGCUAGUACGCUCCCUGAGAACAUAGGCUCAAAGAGACUUGGGACCAGUCCCUCUCUCGUCGGUCUGUAACCCCUACUACAGAACCCCGCGUGGGCAAUACGAGCAUCCACGAUACUGGACGUAGGGCUCCCUUUGCUCGAACCAGUCUAAUCCGUGUCUCCCACGCCACCAUCUGAGGCCUUACGCGCAUAAAAGAAAUUUACUAGUCUAAGUCUUGAUCCGCCAAUCUUGACAACGACAGUUGGCGCGCUAGGUAGGGGACCUUUGCGCAUACCCUCCCAGCCUCAGAUGGCCAAUUACGAUAGUAGCUUUGCUCCGGGCUCCCUGAUCCGAUUCGGGAGCCUGGACUUCCUCGCCACCGGGGAAGGGAUCAAGCUGAUCCCUGUCCUCAUCCUGCCCGCUCGCCCGCCUGCCCCCGGCCCCGCCGCCGGGACAGCGGUGAGCGGCCGCUCGCAUACCGGAAGGACCUCGCCAGGGGGACGGCCCUUCGGGCUACGCAAUGCCACGGGGGCCUACGGACGCCUCCUAGCGCGGUCCAUGACCGCGUCGCCCGCGAGCAACGAGCUCGUAGGUGCGACAAGGACGAUCUCCGACACCGGCUCCAGCAGCGGGAGCCCCCACCCCUCGCGUGAGUGCCUCGUGGUCGACGAGCACUCUGAGGGAUCCAACAGCAACGAUGCCGAGGAGAGACAAAGGGCUGCCCCUCGCGCGCCGCGGCUAUGACCGGAGCCUUACCAAGGGCACCAGAGUGCUCUCAGCAACGAGAGGCGCGCGCGGGCGCCCGCCAAGAAGUCGAGCACCCCCACCACGAGGGAGGAGCGCGACAACGGGCGCGAGACGUCCAGCGACGCAUCUGCGCGGAUGAAGAGCGUCCGCAGCUUUUCGCCCGCGCCAGCCAAAACGUCGCAGCCGCGGCGGUGUUGCUCCGACAGCUCCCCGAACCAGCGAUGCCCGAGGAGCGACGGGCACGCCAAGAGAUGCGCGACCUGCUCGAAUGCGCCGCCGUCCAGCAGGCGGAAAGCUCCGCGUCCCGGCGACGCGGGCAGAAUGCCAGCAGGGCGACGCCCGACGCGCCCCCGGAAAGGCGGGGGGAAUCAGUCCAUCUACCCCCUCCUGGGGCGAAUCAGGCCGCGUCCGCCCGACGGACUCCACCACCCGCGGGAGGCGAGGCUCGAUCCGUCCACCAGCGCGUCGGCCUCGUCCGCGACGCCCGCGACACCCUAAACGCGCGGAGACGCUCCCGCGCGGACAGGGAGGACGGGGUAGAUCGAGGCUACCACGUCCACCGUGGCGGGCGCUACGACAGCGGGGAAGACCGCAGCCUGAGCCCCGGUCCGGCUGGGCCCCGGGCCUUCUGUGCGCGCAUCCUGAACGCGCCUUUUCCGCCGCGCUUCAGGCAACCCAUGAGUAUAGCCAAAUACUCAGGGGAGACGAAUCCUGGAGUGUGGCUCAGCGAUUACCGGCUUGCAUGUCAAGCCGGCGGGGCGGAUGAUGACCUGUUUAUCAUCCGCAACCUACCCCUCUUCCUAGCCGACUCAACGCGAGCUUGGCUAGAACAUAUCCCUUCGGGACGAGUUCGCAACUGGAAUGACCUGAAGGAGGUUUUCAUAGGGAACUUCCAGGGCACGUACACACGCCCCGACAAUUCCUGGGACCUCCGGAGCUGUCGUCAGGGGGCGGACGAGUCCCUCCGAGAUUAUAGCCGGCGCUUCUCCAGGAAGCGCACCGAGCUCUCCAACGUCGCGGACGCCGAUGUCAUAGGAGCUUUCCUAGCAGGAACCUCCUGCCGGCCCCUCGUCCACGAGCUGGGGUGCCGAGGCCCGCGAACCACGGAGGAGCUCCUCAAUAUCGCCACUAGUUACGCCUCGGGCGAAGAGGCCGUUGGAGCAAUCUUCGACCGCUCCAAAGGCAAGGCGAAACGGGAGGAGGUUGCUGGCGAAGGCACCUCCAACCGCCAGCAGAAGAAGAAGGGCAAGUUACGGCGCGAGGCCCCCCUCGUGGCCGCAGCUGAGCGCAAGCGAGGGCCGCCGCCCCCCGAGGGCGCUCCCGGCUUCUUCGACAAGUUGCUUGAGGGACCGUGCCCGAACCACGAGUUCCCCGUGAAGCACGCCUACAAAGACUGCAACCUCAUGAAGAGAUACUUCAUGGGCAAUUCGGUGAAAGGCGACCGGAAGCGGAAGCCCGAUGAGGAAAAGAAGGGCGACGAAGAGAAGGAAGACGGCUUCCCCAAGGUGGACGGCUGCUUCAUGAUCUUCGGGGGCUCUGCGGCAUACGACACCAAGCGCCAGUAGAAGCUGGAGCGCCGGGAGGUCUACGCGGCCGAGCCAGCGACUCCGGCCUUCCUGGACUGGUCAGGGCCGGCCAUCACCUUCGACAGGACCGACCACCCUGGACGCGUCCGGCACCCGGGGCGUUACCCUCUCGUCGUCGACCCCAUCGUCGGCACGACGCGCCUCACCAAGGUGCUCAUGGACGGAGGCAGCAGCCUCAACAUCCUCUACGCCGAGACCCUCGACGCUAUGGGGAUCGACCGUUCCCGCCUCCAUCCCAGCAAGGCGCAUUUCCAUGGCGUCGUGCCAGGGAAGCAGGCGAUGCCUCUCGGGCAAAUCGACCUGCGCGUUACGUUCGGGACCCCUUCCAACUACAGGAAGGAGGUCCUCACAUUCGAGGUGGUGGGGUUCCGCGGAACCUACCACGCCAUCUUGGGACGGCCUUGCUACGCAAAGUUCAUGGCUAUCCCCAACUACACCUACCUCAAGCUCAAGCUGCCGGGGCCCAACGGGGUCAUCACCGUCGGCACGACCUUUCAGAAGGCGUACGAGUGCGACGUAGAGUGCUGCGAGUACGCCGCGGCCAUCACCGUCACGAGCGAUUCGGCAGUCCAGCUUGCGGAGGCCACCGAGGACCGGCCCGACUCCAGGCAGCCGAACAUCUCCUUCGAGCCCGCUGAAGGUAUCAAGGAGGUCCCCCUUGAUCCCGGUUGUUCCAACGGAGGAGUCGUGCGGAUCAGCGCGGCCCUAUCCCCCAAAUAGGAAAGCGCGCUCGUUGACUUCCUCCGCGCGAACAGCGACGUCUUCGCGUGGAAGCCAUCGGACAUGCCAGGCAUUCCGAGGGAAGUCGCCGAGCACUCCUUGAACAUCAGGGCCGGUUCCAAGCCAGUAAAGCAAGGAUUGCGCCGUUUCGACGAGGAAAGGCGCAAGGCCAUCGGCGAAGAGCUCCAGAAGCUUCUGGCGGCCGGGUUCAUCAAGGAAGUGCACCACCCCGAGUGGCUAGCUAAUCCUGUCCUUGUACCAAAAAAGAAUGGGAAAUGGAGGAUGUGUGUCGAUUAUAACGGUCUCAACAAAGCGUGUCCAAAGGACCCGUUUCCUUUGCCACGCAUAGAUCAAAUAGUCGACUCAACUGCCGGGUGCGAGACCCUCAGCUUCCUCGACGCAUAUUCCGGCUACCAUCAGAUCGCGAUGAAAGAGGCCGACCAGCUCGCUACCUCCUUCAUCACCCCCUUCGGUCCCUACUGCUACGUUAAGAUGCCAUUCGGCCUCAAAAACGUGGGGGCUACCUUCCAGCGAUGCAUGCUGUAGUGCUUCGGAGACCUCAUUGGGCGGACCGUUGAGGCCUACGUUGACGACAUCGUCGUAAAAUCCCGGAGGGGCGACCAGCUCGUUCCCGUCCUUGAACUAGCCUUCGAGAGGCUGAGGGAUAAGCGUAUUAAGCUCAAUCCCAAGAAAUGUGUGUUCGGAGUCCCAAGGGGCAUGCUGUUAGGCUUCAUCGUCUCCGUGCGCGUCAUCGAAGCAAACCCGGAGAAGAUAGCGGCCAUUAGAGACAUGGGGCCGAUCCGGAACAUAAAGGGAGUUCAGCGCAUCAUGGGAUGCUUGGCAGCUCUAAGCCGCUUCAUCUCGCGCCUCGGCGAGCGAGGGCUUCCUUUCUAUCGGCUCCUGAAGAAGACUGACCGUUUCGAAUGGACCAGCGAGGCCCAGGAGGCACUUGACCGACUCAAGGACCUCCUGACGAAGGCCCCGAUCCUAGUCCCGCCUACCGACGGCGAGUCCCUCCUGCUCUACGUCGCGGCGACCACCCAGGUGGUUAGCGCGGCCUUGGUGGUGGAACGAGAAGAGGAAGGACACGCUCUCAAGGUGCAACGCCCGGUGUAUUUCAUCAGCGAAGUCUUGUCCGAGUCCAAGACACGUUACCCGCAGAUCCAGAAGCUCGUCUACGCCAUCCUUAUCACAAAGAGGAAGCUGCGCCACUACUUCACCUCCCACCCGGUAACAGUCAUUUCGUCAUUCCCGUUAGGCGAAGUAAUCCGGAACCCAAAUGCUACAGGGAGAAUCGCGAAGUGGGCGCUUGAGCUCAUGGACCAGGGUAUCACCUACGUCCCCCGCACCGCCAUCAAGUCCUAGGCACUCGCCGACUUCGUGGCAGAGUGGACGGAGAUUCAAACGCCAUCGGCGCCAGAGAAGCAGGAGUAUUGGACAAUGUACUUCGACGGGUCACUGAUGAGGGCCCGCGCCGGAGCGGGUCUCGUUUUCGUCUCUCCCUUGGGCAUGCGCAUCAGGUACAUGAUCCACCUUCAUUUUCCUGCAUCUAAUAAUGUCGCCGAGUACGAAGCCCUCCUCAACGGACUCCGCAUCGCCAUCGAGCUGGGCAUCCGUCGGCUGGACAUCCGGGGCGAUUCCCAGUUGGUCGUCGAACAAGUCAUGAAGGAGUGGAGCUGCCACGACCCCAAAAUGGCAGCCUACUGCAACGAGGUCCGUAAGCUCGAAGACAAAUUCGACGAGCUAGAGCUCAACCACGUCGCAAGGCGCUUCAACGAAGCCGCCGACGAGCUGGCGAAGGCGGCAUCCGAAUGAAUGCUCGUCCCCGACGGCGUCUUCGUUAGCGACCAGUUGAAGCCCUCAAUCCGUUACCCAGAACUGCAGGGGUCGGCGAAGCACCCCCGGCCCUGGGAUCGGGACCCGAGUCAGGGGAGGUCGGCAGCGCGCCACCUGUCCGAGACCCGAGCACCAGCCCCGAGGGGGUCGACAACGCUUUGCCCAACUCGGCCCCGGGAGCCGAUCCGUCCGACCCCGGGGUCAUGGAAAUCACGGCAGAUUCCGCGGCGGGUGCCGACCCCCCGAUCGAUUGGAGAGCCCCAUACAUCGACUACCUCGUCCGCGACACGCUCCCGGCAGACAAAACGGAGGCCCGUAGGAUCGCGCGCCGCGCCAAAUCCUUCGCCAUCAUCGACCAGGAGCUCUACAAGAAAAGCCACACUGGAAUCCUCCAGCGCUGCAUCUCGAUCGAACAGGGAAAGGCGCUGAUCAAGGAUAUCCACGCCGGAGCCUGUGGUCACCACGCCGCGCCAAGGACCCUCGUUGGUAACGCCUUCCGACAAGGUUUUUACUGGCCGACCGCGGUCGCGGACGCUACCCAGGUAGUCCGCACCUGUGAAGGAUGCCAGUUCUUUGCCCGCCAGACUCACCUGCCCGCGCAGGCGUUGCAGACCAUCCCCAUCACGUGGCCAUUUGCGGUUUGGGGGCUAGAUCUCGUCGGACCCUUCAAGAAGGCACCCGGGGGCUUCACCCAUCUGCUCGUCGCCAUCGACAAGUUCUCCAAAUGGAUCGAGGCAAGACCGGUGGCGCAAAUCAGGUCCGAGCAGGUGGUCCAGUUCUUCACCGACAUCAUCCACCGCUUCGGGAUCCCGAAUUCCAUCAUCACCGACAACGGCACACAGUUCACUGGGAAGAGAUUCCUCCAGUUCUGCGACGACCACCACAUCCGAGUGGAUUGGGCGGCCGUGGCACACCCCCGCACGAACGGGAAAGUCGAGCGAGCCAAUGGCAUGAUACUCCAGGGUCUCAAGCCAUGGAUCUUCGACCGCCUUAAAAAAUUCGACGGACGGUGGGUUGCGGAGCUUCCCGCAGUCCUUUGGAGCCUGAGGACGACCCCCAGCCGGGCGACGGGCUUCACCCCGUUCUUCAUGAUCUACGGGUCAGAGGCCAUUUUGCCCACCGAUCUAGAGUACAGAUCGCCAAGGGUCAAGGCAUACGACGAACAGGGAAACCAGGCAUCAUUCGAGGACGCGCAAGAUCAACUCGAUGAAGCGCGAGACGUAGCUCUACUGCACUCGGCUAAGUACCAGCAGGCCCUACGGCGUUACCACAGCCGCAAGGUGCAAGGCUGAGCCUUCAACGUCGACGACUUGGUGCUCCGCCUCGUCCAAGACAACAGGGGUCGGCACAAGUUGACUCCCCCAUGGGAAGGCCCGUUCAUCGUCGUACAAGUUCUACGGCUGGGCACCUACAAGCUGGCAACUCCCGACGGGCAGGUUUUCAGCAACGCCUGGAACAUAGAACAGCUAAGGUGCUUUUACCCAUAGCUUUUAUUUCCAAGCCCUGCAUAAAACUUGUCUUCAAUUCCGAUAUUUCCUUUAAGCUCAGGGGUAUCCGACCCUGGCCUCGUUCCAGGGCCGCAUACCCCUCGGGGGCUACCAGUUUUGCUCCUCUGCGAAAAAAAAGAAACCCCGAGCCGUCUCGGUUCAGGCCUUUUCCUUUAAGCUCAGGGGUAUCCGACCCUAGCCUCGCUCCAGGAUCGCAUACCCCUCGGGGGCUAUCAGAGGUUCCGACCCCAGCCGCUCGGCCCUAUCUAAAAGAAACAUUUUUUCUUUUCAAACCGAACACUCCCUUUCUAGACCUUUGGGCGCAAAAAAGAGAAGGAUGCGCGAACGGUGCUCAGGCAAGUUUGAUCGGACUGCGAAAAAACCUACGCCCCAGCGGCUACGGCACCUUCGCUCAUCAAAACUUAAUGACGCACCCGACAACGCAUUCUAAACUUUCAAGCCCAAAGGAACAGCAAAGGGGAUCGGGAUCUUUCGCACAACGAAGUCAUAAACAAGCCUGUAUGGCCAUCACAAAAUAAGUUCGAAACUAACAUAAUUACAUUUUGGGCACAAGCCCGGUACAGUUAACUUGACGAGGGGUCGGCAGGAGGGAUGACCUCAUCUUCCAGGAGCUUCGCGAGGGCCUCCGCCGGCGCGGACACCGCUGCAUCAAUCCCGUCCAGCUCAGCUUCGGUGUAAUCAGCGGCGUACCCUUCACUCAUCCCGGCAAAGUUGAUGCCAGAAUAAUGGGAGCCGAAGACCCCGAAGGCUCGCCGCAUGCCGACGUGAAGCGCGUCCAUGGCGAUCUCGCGACGUCGACGGCGUACCCCAAGGACACGAGCCGGCAGAGAGCUCGACCCCUCCUCCGGAACUACGCCAAAGUCGUCACAGACGACGCGGACCGCAUCCCGCAAGGCGCCGUGCUCGCCGUGCUCCGCGUCGAGCAAACCCUUCAGCUUGGCGAUUUCGCCUGCAGGAACCACCCAGAAAAGCCCACCAAGUCAAGAACAGAACACAAAAUGUCACGGGAACGCGGGAACGGAAAAAAAAAGCCUCACCGUCGGCCCAGGCCUUCAACUCGCGCUCCCGGUCGGCUCCUUGAGACACGGCGGACUGGAGUCCCUGCACUUGCGAGCGAAGGCGACCAGUCUCCGCGCUAAGGGCUUCACGCUCCCCCCUCAGCUGUGCAAGCUCCCCGGCAUCACGACGGGCCCUCUCAGCGGCAGCUUGAAGCUCCUCGGCGUCGCGGCGGACCCUCUCAGCGACAGCUUGGAACUCCUCGUGGUCGAGGCGGGCUUUCUCGAUGACGGCUUGGAGCUUGGCCUCCGAUCACCGCGCCUCCUCCAACGCCGCCCCCUCACGCCUUUGCAGGUCCCGAAUGACCCCCUGGGCGGCAGUGACUUGCAGGGACAGGUCCCUGGUGCGCUCCCUCUCCGCGUUGAAGCGCUCCCAGAGACCCUGCUGCAGCCGAAGGAAAUCAGAUUUCCCCCGACUGCCCUCUUGGAGGGCCUGCAAAGCAACGUGCCAUUAGAAAAAAAAAAGCAAAAGGGAGGUGCUGAUCACCAACAGUAGGAGCAACAUACCUGGCUGCCAGGGAGGACGGUGUUACCCAGAACCCCCAACGCCGAAGACAGAGCCGCCUCAACGUGGGCAAGGCCGCCCUGCAUCGCCUGCCACUUGUGCCACUCAGUGGCGUCGUCCAGCGUGAAGAGAUGCCUCGGCGGGUCAUCGCGGGAUGACCAGCGAAGGACAGACCCCCUCCACGCCCUGGGAACGGAGGGAGCCGAGGCCGAGGCAGGGGCCGAUCCUGACGCUGCCGUCAAGGUCGGCACCAUUGCACUAGAAGCCGCCGAGUUUACUGACGGCCCCGGCACCUGCACGCUCGUCGCCGCCGAGGCCGCCGGCGGUAUCCCAGUGGGCCCCUCCGCCUCCGCCGCCGGAGCCACUCCCGCGGGGGUAAUUGGGGCGGAGGCCCCCGCCUCCGUCACCGUUGCCUCCGCCGCCGCGCUUUCGGGGGCAGGCGUUCCCUCCGCCACCGAUCCCGCCGCGGCUGCGGGGGCAUCCGCCCUACCUCCCGUCGCCGCCGUCUCCUCUGCCUCGUCGGCGUCGAAGUCGAUCACCUUCCCGGCCUGAGAACCCGGGGGGAUCGUGCCCUGCGCUGUAGGGGCGACUGGGGGGACCGAAGGCGGAGUAGGGUCCGCUCCCCCUCCCACGGCUGACACCGCCGUCGCUCCGCCGGCCGCCACCACAGGGGCCGCCUCCGCGGAGGGGUCCGCGGCCUCACCAGGGACCCCGCCGCUCGCCGCGGGCGGGACCGCGGUCCGCCCCCCAGAGGAGGUUGACAACCGCAACGCCUUCUUAGGCACCAGCUGCAGGGCAAGGCCACGAGGGGCGGCGCUGCAUAUCGACAAACAGACGUCAGCACAAACGAGCGUGAGAAGAGGAGAGGAACGAGGCGCAAGGAAGGCCAACUUACGUCCUUGAAGCACAAGGGCGGCGCGCGCGCUUCGACUCAGAGCCCGACGCCGACCCCGGGGCAUCUGGCAGCGGCCGCUUGUCGCCACUUCGCUGCUCUCCAGUCGCGGGCACGGCGGUGGAGGCAGUCUCUGCAGAUCUCCGAGGAGCACCCUGAGCGGACUCCUGGGGAGCGCCCCGCGCCGGCUCUGAAGUGGCGGCGGGGGCAGGCUCCGAGGACCCCCGAGGGGCGCUCCGCGCCAGCUUUGGGAAGGAGCCCCGUGUCGACCCCUGGGGGGCACCCUUCACCGACCCCUGGGGAGCGUCCCGCGCCCGCUCCUGGGAGGCACCCCGCGCCGGCCCCUGGGGGGCGUUCCGCGUCGACUCCUGGGGGGCGUCUCGUGCCGGCUCCGAAGCGGCGGCGGGGGCAGGCUCCGAAGACCCCCGAGGGGCGCUCCGUAUCGACCCCUGGGGGGCACCCCUUGCCGACCCCUGGGGAGCGUCCCGCGCUCGCUCUUGGGACACGCCCCGCGUCGGCCCCUGGGGGGCGUCCCGCGUCGUCUCCUGGGGACACGCUGUACUGGCCCCUGGGGCGCAGCCCCAGGGCCUGGUGGAGCCGAAGCCCGGGCGGGCGCCUCCUCCACUUCACCUCCCGCGGCCGUCCGCGGGGGUGCCUCACGAAUGGCGAGGGCGCCCGAUCGGAAGGAGGAAAUCAGCUCCUCCUCAUCAUCAUCUUCCUCAUCUUCAUCCUCUUCAUCAUCGUCGUCAUCAUCGUCGUCGUCGUCAUCGAACACGACCGACCCCCUCCGCCGCCGUUGGAACUCCUUAGCGGCCUUCUUCCUCUUCUUCGCCAUCUCGAUGUCCUUCCGGCGCUUCUGCGCCUCGGCGAGGAGACGGUUGUGCGUCCGCCGCUCAACAUCUUCCGGCACCGGCGGGAGCGAGUGCGCGACCCGGGUUAGCGGACCCUACAAACGCAAAGCAGCUCCACGUCAGAGUGACAAUCGCAAGACACGAAGAAAGGAGGAGGACGCCCCAACUCCUUACCAGAUCUAUGAGCCCGCAUCCGGGCGCAUCGGCGGGUGCCCGGGAAUCGGGUACUCGACGUCCUUGUCCUCCAGCGCCUCCCGAAUCCGUUGCCGGAUCUCGGAAGCGACGAGCGCACCCGUCGCCAAGGCGGUGCCCUCGGUCGGCGCGUCGGGGGUCAUGGCGGCAAGCGGUCGGAUUCAGAGCAUCAGUGGCGCCACCCGUCGGGUGUGGUACGCUCCGAUGACCCCGGCGCCGGUGAGCCCGUCCCGCUUCAGCCGCUCGAUGGCCUGCAGCAGGUCGAAGAACCGCUUCUUGUCCUUCUCCACUGGCCCGUACGCCCACACCUCCGGCGCCGCGUCGAUGGUACGGCCGGUGAAAGCCGGCAGGGGGGAGUUCGGGUAGUUCUUCACAUAGAACCACUGGUUGUGCCACCCCUUGUGGGACGCCGAGGUCUUCAUCGUCAUGUUCUCCUUGGAGCGGGUAUGACGAAGGUGGAUCCCGGCGCACCCGAUCGGCACCGGAGGUGACCGCUGCUGGCUCCCUCGCUUCUCCGUCUUCUGGUACAGGCUCACUGUGAAAAAGUAUUUCCACAGCGAGAAGUGGGGCUCAAUGCCUAGGAAUCCCUCGCACAGGGCGACGAACGCCGCAAUGUGCUGGAUCCCAUUGGGUUUGAGGUGCUGGAGCUCGAGCCCAUAGUAGUGGAGGAGCCCCCGAAAGAAGCGGCUCGAGGGAGAGGCGAACCCCCGCUCAUGGAAGUGAGCGAAGGAGACGAUGUAGCCAGAGAGAGGCUCCGGCACCUGCUCCGGGCCCGACAGCAACCACUCAGCCGCCUCCGUCUUCUCGCAGAGGAGGCCUUUUCGCACCAGGCCCUCGGCGCGCGAGGAGGUGAAAUGGGAGAUCCCCCAGGAACCCAUCGCCGGAGGAGGGAGAUCAACGGAGGUGAGAAGAAAGGGCACGGCUUGGAGCAAAGGAAACGAAGCGGGCACGGACAAACUGAACGCUAGGCUGGAGGGCGGAAAGGCUCGAAUGCAGAAGGCGGGCGGAACCGGCGCGGCGGGCUCCCGUUUUUAUAGGAAAGGUACGGGAGAAGCCAAAUCGACGCCCCGGCCGCCAUAAAUGCGGCGCCAGGUACGCCCCUGCCACGCCCGUUUCCUUUUCGAAAACCGCGCGCACGGCCGGCCGCGAAAACAUCCUAUCCUCCUCGAUUCGCGGGAUGGCGCUUCCCAUAACUCCACCUCCCGGAAGGCACGACGUCCCCCACGUUCGGCCCAGACGUCACGACCGCUCCGUUCUGGCCCAAGGCCCACCGAAAGGUAAGAAAGGGAUACGGGGCUGAAAACGCCCCUACGGCCCAUUACGGUCCAGAGGUUCGAAGGCUGGCCCACCGCGGGAUCGACAGCUGCCUCAGGAUAUCUCCCGAGCAAGGGGUGAGAAGGGACGGGUCCACUAGCGGCCAACACCCAGGCAAGCGAAAGCCAAGGGCGUCCCGACCUCACGUUCGAGUCCCGUCCGGUAUAAAGUUCAUGGUUUUUCCACGGGGAAAGGCAACGAGCCCCCGGAUUCGGCCGAACGGACCCGGGAACUAUAUGAACUGGCCGGCGGGAAAUUGUAGUACGCCACCAGCUUGGCCCGAGCCGGACCCCCCCGAACGGGGACCGGGACUCCACUCGAACCUACCUGUUCGCAGCUCAAAGCGAGCACCACGGUUCGUCCAACUAGGAUAACGUGGCACGGCUCAACCCCUCCGUCCUAGCGAACGGACGCUUGAGGGGCAACGACCAAAAGUCGACCUGGCCUCCCGACCGGUCUCCCGCAACGAGCAGGGGCUCGGGGGCUAGCAUCGCAACCAACGACCAUGCGUAUGGUCACGAUUCCCAGGCUCCCCGGCCAAACCGGGAUGAAGCAAGCGCACCAUAAACAAAAUCCACGGAGAAACGGCGAAAGAAGCCUCCGGAGGAGCACUUUUUGCUCCACCACAGGCUCGGGGGCUACUGUUGGGGGGAAAUAUUAACGAUCCCCUAAAUACCGCUUAAAGGAGCAGACGCGAAGGCCCGGGCCCACCUAAGCAUAAUCAAAACUCCGCCUCGCCCGACCGCGGCCUCAGGGUCAGGAACGCCCGACUCCCCUCCACGAGGUUUCCGCCUCGUCCGACUACGGCCCCAGGGUCGGAGGCGCCCGACCCCUCGCCACAAGGUUCCGCCUCGUCCGACCCCAAGCGCAAGGGUCGGGCUCGCUGGGGCCCCCAGGGCAGGCAUCCCCCUCGGAUGCGGACCAGGUGGGCAAGGUAAACAAAUGCUGCGGGUCCCUCCCCCGUCGGGCUCAUCAUAAAUGCGCCGCAGGCCUGGCAGAGGGAGGAAUGACCGUGCUCCUCACACAACCCGCCGCAAGUACCCAUGCACGACCAUACUCUACAAGCUACAGCGCUGGCGGCUCACUCCCAUUCGCCGCAGGGUACUCAUGGCCUGCGCCGACCGGAGCGGAGGAGAGACUCGCCUGUCCUCGGGCCCCGCGCACCCUCGGGUCCCGUGCGCCUGGCAGCUAGGAUGUGACGCCCUCUCUCCAGGAGCCAUCAUCAGAACGGCAGCAUCCACCGUCCUCCCCAACGGACACCGGGAUAACGACGAAACGCCCUCAUCAUAACCCGACGCCGACGGAUGCCGAAGGAGCUAUCUGUAGGGUGCGACGACAGUUGGCGCACGGCCGCCUCCCCCUCCGGCAUGCACGCCGGCGCUCGCCAGGAGCCGGCGGAGGCGUCGGGCGUCUAGGAACUUGUUCCUCCCAUCCUGCCGUAUUUUUUACCGUACUACGUUCACAUUUUACGGUCCUCUUCGCCCGAUCCCAACUGUAACUCUGGCCACUCCCCUUGCGAUAUAAAAGGAGGAAGACAGGGCCGGAGGGGGGAUCGGCUUCUUCCCCCUCAAGCCACAGCACGCUAGUACGCUCCCUGAGAACAUAGGCACAAAGAGACUUGGGACCAGUCCCUCUCUCGUCGGUCUGUAACCCCUACUACAGAACUCCGCGUGGGUAAUACGAGCAUUCACGAUACUGGACGUAGGGCUCCCUUUGCCCGAACCAGUCUAAUUCGUGUCUCCCACGCCACCAUCUGAGGCCUUACGCGCAUAAAAGAAAUUUACUAGUCUAAGUCUUGAUCCGCCAAUCUUGACAACGACAAAUCUAAAAAUCCAUAACUAAUUAAUUUUAAAUCAUAAAAGUUUGAAACUAUUACCCAUCAUCUUUUUCUAGAAUGUUACCUUUUAUGUUGGUUUUUUUGAGUUAUUUGCAUAUUAUUGUCCCCAUCUCUAGUGUUUUAUUGCUUGUAGUCAAACCUACUAUUUAUUUAUUGUUGUUUUGCAUUGUAUGAUUAUUGGAUGCUAUGCGAUACAAAGAUAAUUGUUCAACAACCAUAUGCAUCAUGAAGAAAUUUCCGGAUACGAUUGAUAUUAGUACAUUAUUAACUUCUUAUCAAGAAAUAUCAAUGAAGUGUUUUAUAUGAAUAUUUUUAAUGCACCUUGAGUUUUUGGAUAACCUUUUUCAUAAAAGUUAAUUAGAUGCAUUCUUAACUAAAUAAGCCAUUUGGUAAUUUUUCAAAAAUGUUUAUUUAGGUAACAGAAAAUUUAUUUAUUUAUUCUGGAAAAAGUUUUUUUUUAACGAAGUUAGCAAGGAAAGCACCUACCUAUUCUUUAAUUGUUAUUUUAGAUCCGUUUAAUUCGCUCCCACGAGAAGUUGAAUAUAGACCUGCAGGAUGUUACUCAGGUGCUCUAACCACUAGACUAGAGUCCCUUUCGCUUCUGAAAAAGGUUUUACAAAAAUCUUUUCCCUAUUAUCUUUUGUUAAGUCUGGGAUGUUGCCGCACGUGGGAAAGAAAGAACGGGAAACAUAGACCGAGACCGCUGCUGCGCCGCCACCAUGCUUCGCCGUUGGAGGGUUAGGGUUCGGGGUUUCGGGUUAUGGGUCAUCGAUGGCGCGGCUAUCUCCGAUGUGGCUGGGAUAUAUGGGAGGUUGACGGUGGCUAGGUAGCAGGCGGUGGUGGCGGGUUGUGUGCGGGAUGGCGGGACACCACCAGUUCCGAUUUGUGGAAGACAAUAGGUGGCCUCUAGAGGCAGCGGGGGAAUCUUGGUGAGCUUCCCGCGCGGGGCUGGGUUAGGGCGGCGAAGGAUGGUGGCGGUGGAUGUGGCAGCGCGAGCCGCCGGAGAUGAUGGAGGAUGGCGGCGCGGGCGCGAGCAAAGGAGGACAGUGCGAUGGUGAUCGAGGGUUGCGACCGGCGACGCCGGAUGCAGUGGCGAGAGCCGUCGGAGCUAGAGGAGGAGGGCAGCGCGGGGGCAUGGGCGUGCGCGCUCCUGGGCUGCCAUCACUGAAGGUGACAUUGGUGAUUUUUGUCACCUUCUGUGAUAUAUAGAUAUAGACAUGCUCUAGAUAGAGGACUCCUUGGAGAGACCCCGAGAAUGGAGAUGGGCAUUUGGAGCUCUUCCAAAAUAAGGAAUCUAGAGGACUUGCUAGAAUGCAUUUUUUUUGACUUGGUCCAUUGGAGUUGUUCUAAGCCAACAACUAUUAGCAUCCUUUUAGAUAACUCUGUUAAUCUGAAAUACAACAGUUUCCUACUUUAUGUAUAAUGAGUGUCAUUGCGUCACUACGUACGAGGUCUACUUUAUGGCGGAUCUGAAGGUGUGUUUGGUUGGGAUGUGGCUUUUGGAAAAGCUACUGUGAGCUGUGGGCUGUGAAAAAGUAGCGGGGAGAAAGCAGCUGUGGGAAAAGCAGAAGACCGUUUGGUUAGAGCAGCUACGAAACUGUAGGUUGUGUAAGAAAUACCUGUAAUGCCCCUAAAGGUCUGCGGGUGUGUUUACAUGCAAAUUGCUCAUAACAAAAUAAUGUGUUCACUAAUUCACAUGUAAAUGACUAUUUUAGAAAGGAAAAAAAAUAAAUUUUAUAUGUUCUUCAUCCAUAUAAGUGAUUGGUCCACAUAAAUAGAACAAUAUCCAUCAAAAGGUUUAUACAAUGAUGUCAUCUCUCAACAUUACUGUCCUCCUCUCGCACUAACCAAAGCAUCAACUAUCCUAGCAUGAAUGAUAUUCAUGGUAUCCUCAUUCUCCAUAUCGUCACUCUCAUCUCCUUGUGUUUGUCUCGUGCCACUUGUAUAUUGUACCAAGUACUCCUACAAAACCGAGUUAGUAAGGUACAUAAUAAUACACGUAUUUCUAACUUGAUGAAGGAAUCAUGUAUACCUUUAGGAGGCACGAGAAAUAUGUCUCAAAGCAUUGUCGAGAAAAUUGAAAGAAAAGAUGAUGAACAAAGGAGGGUCAAUUCUUGUUGCUCUUUGGACUAGAGGAUUGACGAUGAUCAUUGCAGUCCUAACAAUUCUCUUGUUGCAGAACAGAGUAGCAACUUCUGAGUAGCAUAUGAUUCUUACAUCUUCCAGGCGAGGUGGCUAGUGUGCUGGAUGAAGUUGAGGUCCCUUGGCAACCUGGCAAACGCCUCCGUCAUGUCUGCAGGCAAAAUUUCCAAAAAAAACAAGAAGAUUUCAACACCACCAACAAAGCAAGCAUGUAAUCACCUGAUUAAUCAAUCAGCAAACAAUUCACAACUAGCAAUCUGUAGAAAUUAGCACGCCAUUACCGUCCUGGGUGAUGAGCGGGUAGUCGGAUGCGUUGAGGUUGACGAACCAGUCCCAGCGGCGGUGAAGGCGGAGCAGCAACGCGACGGCGUGCAGCGUGGUGGUGAGCAUGGUGGGGCCCCGGUAGGUGACGAGGUUGGGCCUGCCGACGAUCCACACGUUGCCCGCGAUCGCGUACACACCCCACCUGGACAUGAGCUCUGCCAGCCGGCAGUGCUCCUCCCCUGGACCGCAGGUAGUUGUUGGCCGGGUGGUACAGUGCCGCCAGCAGCCGCAUCGUGCGGCCCACUUCCCCUGAGGAUGCCGAGAUAAGGUAUGCGAACGAGAUCGGGUACCGCGGCGCCUCGCCGGCGGCACCGUCGAAGGCGGCCAACGAUGAGAGUGUUGACGUCGGUUUUUGACACGUGUCAGGGUCGACGUCAAGAGGAGAAGAAAGUGGCUGAUGCGGUUAAACAAGAAGCUAUGGCUAGAGAAAUCAGUCAGUAAAGCUAUAGUGUUUCAGCCGAUUAGCUAAUGAGAUAGAUGAAGACUGGCCGAUUGGAAGCUAGAAAAGCUCGGCCGAUAUGGGCCUAAAUGGGCCAAGGUGGUAACAAGAUGAAGAUAGGAUUGGCCCAUAGAGGAUUGGAUGGUGUUCGACUCCGAUACAAGUUGUAUCCGUAUGUAAAUAUUUGUUGCUUUGAAUAAGAAAUAGAAUAUUGAGUCAUAGUCGGUUAGGAAACGAGUUGUAACAGGGUAUAAAUAGGUGCCCCGUGAGGCUGGCAAAAACAUCAACAAACAUCAAUACAAAUCUACUUUUUCAUGCAACUUUACUUUCAUGUCGGCGACUUUGCCAAACCCUUUUCUUUUCACGAGUUCGUGUGAGUUGGCAGGGCUGCAUCAACGUGAUCUCCGAGCAAUUUGUAAGUUCCGCGUUUCGAGUAAUAUAUAAGCUUUAACUUUGGGCGUAUCGCUGUUGUUUUGUUUAGAUUUAUUCACUAGUUAUCGAUAUUUGCUAGAAUUAUAGGUUUUAUUCUCCGGUGGAAAGAUUGUGCCUUUGCCUGUAUUUCUCUUGCACUAAACUCAGGCGAUACCUAUUAUCGGCGGAAUGUGUGGUCGCGUGUAAAGUUGAUGUUGUCAAGUAUAUGUUAUCACUGCCGAUCUUGAAGGGAAGGAUUGGAAAAUGUAUUCUGGCACUCUCAGAAUUCGAUCUCAGGUACGAAUCGGCCAAGGCCGUCAAGGGUCAGGUAAGGCUGAUUUCGUCACCCAACACUGUGGAUCAGAAAUUACUGUCGUUGAGCCGGCUCCAUGGACUCUGUACUUCGAUGGAUAUUCGUGUGGGAUUGGAUCAGGAAUCGACAUAAUUCUUAUAUCGCCUCGGGGGGCAAGUUAUGAGUUCUCUCUGCCGAUUGAGGCUUCCGCUACUAAUAAUCAAGCAGAAAAUCGGGCUGUCUUAAAGGGCAUCCAAUUAUUGAGGGAGGUCAAGGCUGACGUGGUAGAAAUAUUUGGGGAUUCCAUGAUUAUCGUGGAUCAGUUGAUUGCAAAGUGUGAGUGCAAGGAUGAUAUUCUAAGGAUUUAUUAUGAGGAAUGCCUCCGGUUGCUCAAAGAAUUCAAGACCGUAACUAUUGAACAUAUCCCUAGGGAUUACAAUGAGGAAGCCAAUAGACUUGCCCAGCACGCUUCUGGCUACUGGCCGAUUCAUGGCGCUUUCGCUCUAGAGCUGGCGGCCGACAACUGGAGGAAGGAGAUCGCCGAUUAUUUAAAGGAUCCAUCCAAGAAAGUUGAUCGGCAGAUACGCUUCCAAGCCACAAAGUAUGUGUUACUUGAAGAUGAAUUGUUUUAUCGGACGAUUGAUGGAGUGUUUCUCAAGUGCCUUAGCAUUGAGGAAGCAAAGAUUUUGAUGGGUGAGAUUCAUGAAGGUCUAUGUGGGACCCAUCAAUCGGCUUUCAAGAUGAAGUCGAUGAUUAGAAACAAUGGGUAUUACUAGCUGACAGUACUUGAAGAUUGUUUCAAAUAUUAUAAAGGCUGUCAGGAUUGUCAAAAAUUUGGCAACGUGCAACGAGCCCCGGCCUCGGCUAUGAACCCGAUAUUAAAGCUGUGGCCAUUUAGAGGCUGGGUAAUUGAUCUCAUCGGUUAGAUCUAUCUGCCGUCAAGCAAAGGGCAUAAGUUCAUAUUGGUGGCGAUUGACUACUUCACCAAGUGGGUUGAGGCGGUUCCUUUGAAUGUUGUGAUGUCGGCCAACAUGAUCGAAUUCAUGAAGGAGCACAUCAUUUAUCGAUUUGGUAUUCCUCAGACCAUCAUGAUUGAUCAGGGGUCAAUGUUUACCUCAGGGAGUUCGAGGAGUUCACUGCCAGUAUGGGAUUAAGCUGUUGAAUUCUUCUCCGUAUUACGCUCAGGCCAAUGGUGUGACGACCCCGGUUAAAUCUUUCGAGUUAAUCUUAAUACGAGCCCCAAAAUUCCUCUGUCUCAGUUUUUCCCGAGCAGGAGUGCUCCACUCCAGUUCCUGUUCCUGACCCGUGAAGACUCUAACUCACCCCGCCAGUUCCUUUUAAGUCUCAACAACAGUGUCCCUUUCAAUCUUGAACAGAGGAAAGACCGAGACUGACGGAUGGACCCGCAAUCUUUUCCCCGGAUCUCCCGAGGCAUACGCACUCGAGCGGCCUGCACCGCUUCAGAGCUCCCCCGCCGCGUGGCUCAACUUCUCCGACGCCCGCCGCUUCACCCAAUCGCCGGCCGGGACAGGAUAGAUUCUCACGCCCUCCUCCCCAAUCGCAGCGGAAGCCCCUCUGCAACCCUUUCUGCUGCGCCUCGUCUCGCUCGCGCCCUCGCCGGCCGCGCCUUGGUGCUCCGACACCGCUGUGGCAGAGCUUUGCCGCUUGCUGCAUCCAAACUACCUCGCAGCUCACGCCCGUCAUCAUCUCACUGGAUCCCCGACUGCAAGGCCCGAUGCCUUCCGACUUUUCCACCGCCUCUACACAGUCGCGCUCGCCUGCGCAGCCGCAGCCUGCCUAUCUUUUCACCGGUUGCAACCUCGCUUGUAGCGCCGUUCUCCCUGUCACACCCAUCAGAUCCGCCGCAUGACGACGCCCGCCUCCGCCAAACCUCAACUACCGGCAAAACCGCGCCUGCGCCGCCUUGUCUCCCGUGCCCAAUAGCCAAGGACCCUAUCUCCGAAAUCCUGUUCCGCCGCCCAUCGACGCCCAGUCGCCGCCAUGGCAGCGCACUCCAUCCUUUUCUUCCGGUCUUCGUGCUACUCCAACUCCCUCUCUCUUUCGCGCAGCUAUAAAAAGGAAUGCCAGAGCCCUACUGGAGAUCCCUUCACCAUCGUUGCCUCGCCGCCUUGUUCCUGAGCGCCGCCACCUAAGUUCUUGAGGAACUCUCAUCUUCGCUCAACACCCGCCCCUCCCAAUCCACCAAGCCGCCUGCUCCUCCACGCUAUGCUAGAGCUUCCUUGUUGCUCACAAGAAGCUCCGCCGCCGCCGGAGCACCGCCGGACAUAGCCGCCACCAAAGCCUUAGUGCUUAAGACCUUCCGCCCAAGUCUACUCCUUCCCGACCCCAAAGCUUCACCUAUAAACCAAAGGUAAGCUGCCGACCCCUUACCGGUUCGCCCGACCCUACCUGUUCGCCUGACCCUACCUGUUCGCCCGACCCCUCUUUCCAUCUCGCCCGACCCUGUCUGUUAGCCGGCCCUUAUCUUCUUCGCCCGAGGACUCGGCUGUACUCUUUUCCUUGACCCGAGGGUAUCUGUGUAAGAUUUCGGGGACUUCUCUGUAAUAGCUUUGAGGACCCCAAACACAUUAAGGCUUAUGGGUCAGAUCAUAAGUUCUUCCAAUUCGACCCUUGGUCUUGUUCUCUAUCCACUGAAGCUUGAACCCCCACACUCUUUCCGUAGCUUUGCUACAAGUUUCUGGGCUAAGACUUGCGAGUGUUGCUGUUGAAAUAACCGUCUAGACACUAACUCCAGCAUUGCAUUCGUGUAGAGUUUCAUCUUGCUGACGGCGUCUACGAACUACACCCGGUGCCAGAAGACGGAGCUGUAGCUGAGCUACCAGUUCCAGAAGCCGAAGUCGCACCAGCUGAAGACCCGCUUCCCUCCCCUCCACUUGAAGGCAAGUCCCGGAGCAUGAACCCCAAAGUUUCCCAAACUUGCGCAUGCCUUCUUUCUCAUGUUUGUGCAUUUACGUAUAGGAGUUGUUUGCAACCUUAGAUGCAUGGUAUAGUUCCUUGAUCGGAACACUAGUUGUUGAAUCGAGUAGUUGCUAUGCUUAAAUAGGAAGUGGUAAAAGUCGAGUGAUUUCCUGUCACUCGCGAGUUAUAGGAGUUGGUUGUUCUCCUUCUGUUACAACUAUAAGGACGAUGGAUGGGGCAAGGUUUUGGUUAACUCUUUUGCUAGUCGGCUGAUCCCCCCGUCUGUCUAUGGAAUCUGUUAAGGCCCGAUAGUGGUGGUGUUCGUGAUCAAGUGUUUGAAAGUACUAAUCUCAUACCUAGUAUGGGAUGGGGAAGCCUAGUACCUGAUUGAACUAGGGCGUGGCUUAUACCCCUGCUGUCCCUGGAACGAGGUUCCCAUGGUGCAUCAUGUGGGUGCAAGUGCGGUCACAGUACGGUAGAGGCCGGGAUUGUGGAGCAUUGCAUGCCAAGGGAAGUUGGACCUGACACGUGCCUGGGAAUUGAUGGGGACGGCUGACACAGGAAGCGACCCUUGUGGUGCGCGGAUGUCGUGAGAUUAGGUUUGCCAUGCAUGGUUAAGAAACUCGAAGGAUUCGUCUGCCUCUCACAGUUUGAGACUGCUUGAUCGCUAUGCUACACUGAUUAAUGAAAGAGUCUGAUGAUGACAUGGUCUUGAUGAGUAGCUUAUAUACAUAAAGUUGGAUCUAUGUUUGCUUAGAGUAAGAUGCCAACGUAGACUGGUUAAUGAACUUAGAAUUUGAGCUAAAACUUGAAAGCAAGGACCUAACGUAGUAGCUUUUGGCAAACAAAACCCCUCAGCCAAAGAGCCUUGCAUGUCUAGACGUGGUGGAGUAGUUUUACCACCGGUCGGUUAAGUCUUGCUGAGCGUAGCAGCUCAACCUUGUUUGUGGCUUUCUUUUCAGGUGAAGUCGCAGCUCCUGAGUUUGCUUCCGUUGGCACUUGGCCGCCCCAGCUCCCUCCGGGUUGGACGGUUGAGUGGGAUCCUUCCUCGGACGGUGAGGAGAGGGAUCAUUGAUGUCCUGAUCGGCCUCAUUAGGGACAUCCGACCCUGGCGCUAGCUUCCGCUAAUUUAGCUUUCCGCUGCUUUUGAAUCUUGUAAAACUCUGAUUUUUGUUUUUAUGUUGAACUAAAUUGUCAAACUUGUUUAACUCAGUGGAUCUGUUGUAUUCUCUGAAACCGCUCACCUUCGUGUGAGUUUCGCUAAUCCGGUCCUGUAAGUGGUUUAAUCGGAGGAAAUCCGACGGCCCUUCGAGUUAACUUGACUAAGGCAUAAGUGUCGCGUGUCAGGCGACUUAACAAUGCUUUAAUCAAGGUAAUCCGAGGUGGUUCCACCACAAAUGGUCAGGCCAAGUCAUCAAAUAAGGGGGUUAUUAAACUGAUUAAAAGGAAGGUCAAAAAACAACCAAGACGGUGGCAUACAACGCCGAAUGAGUCCUUAUGGGCUUAUCGGAUGGCUUGCCGCGGUGCCACCAAGGUGUCCCCUUAUCAGUUAGUAUAUGUGCAUGAAGCAGUAUUACCUUGGGAGUUGAAGACUGGGUCUAGACGUGUGUCACUUCAGAAUCAGUUGUCGGUUGAUGACUAUUCCGCCCUCAUGAGGGGAGAAUUGGAAGAUUUGGCGAAUCAACAGCUAAGGGCUUUGAUCAGCAUUGAGGAAAAUAAGAAAAGAGUCACCAGGUGGUAUGACAAGAAGGUCAAGGUCAAAAGGUUUUCCCAAGGGGAUUUAGUCUGGAAGUUGGUUCUGCUGAUAGUAUGGAAAAUGGUCGCCCACUUGGGAAAGGCCAUAACGGAUUAGCCAAUGUGCUCUAGGCAAUGCAUACAUACUGGAGACUUUUGAGGAAGAAGAAUUUACAAGGGCCUUGAAUGGAAGAUAUUUGAAAAGAUACUACCCUAGUAUAUGUGUAGGCGCUUAGCCGAUGAUGUGGCAUAACGGGCUUUCACGGUCGACGCGUACUGAUUCGUGUUCAUAUAGCCGAUGCAAGGGGCAUCGCCUUAAGAUUGAAAGAGGCGAAAUAGUGUAUAUAUAACUAAACCGAUCAUUAUUCGGUACACCAACUAAAUAUAUGGCCGGCAUGAUACAAGUCGCCCUUAGAUAAAAAGUACCGACACAGUUAUGGGUUACAACGAUUUAACAACGUUUCAUGUGAGCUUUAUUCAUAUCGAUUUCUUUCUGAAGUCGAUCCAAUUCGAUCUGGAGUCGGGCGUUCUUCUCCUCUAGUUCUGCCAUGUCAUCUUCAACAGCAACUUGACAGGGUAACAGAUGGCUUCUUUCGACUGAUUGCCGUGGUUGCCUUCUAGAAGCUUUAGCCUCGAUGUCAUCCACAAUCCUCUUGAUAUUCACGGGGAGGUGAUCUCUGAGUUCCUCACGAUGAGUUUGGAUCAGGUCUUUGUCAGCCUGAGUGAGCGGUUCAUCGGAGUGGAGGAUCUCAAUGGCUCGUUCAAGAUCACGGCUGAGUCGGUUUGGCUACGAGAAGAAUUGAUGAUCAAUUGACAGAGGGAUUGGUCGAGAGAUAGGAGAUUGACUUCGUACCUGAUUGACAGAGGAGGAGGAGGCCAUCUUGGUCGCUCGAUCGAAGAUUUGUAAGCGCGCGCAAGGAAUGGUUGAGUGGGUGUUUUGCGAAUGCCUUCAGAAGGGAUGCGAAGGGUUUGUACUUAUAGAACAGAAUGGCAAUGGACAAAGGUCGGUAAAAGGAGGGCAUUUAAAGAAAGCGACCGUUGAGUCAUAAAAGCUACGUGAGGACUGUUCAGACUUGCAUUUCAGACAAAAACGCCAAAAGUAUCAACGUUACACAAGAUGUUCAAAGGCUGGUUGAGUUCGUUACAACUAUCCGAGGAGAUUGUUUAUGGUCUCAAUCGCUCGCAGGCGAACUUGGUUGGCCACCUCCAACACUCGCCGAUCAUCAUCGGCUGAUCCUAAGACUUCUGGCGCAUUGCGAUGAAGAUGGAUGGCCUCGUGAGUGAGGGAUUGUCUUUCUUGUUUAAAAUCAACGAUGGCGGUUGGAAGAUCUUCAAGUUUCUUUUCUUCGGUAGCGAUAGCCUUUACGACCAGUUCCAUCUCCUUGGUGAGCUCUGCUCUGCGCCAUUUGAGUUGGUCUAUUUCACUGAUGAUGCUUGGAUGAGAAGUCUCAUGGAGACCGAUCUACCGAUGUACGUGUUGUGCACGGUGCUUGUAGGACUCUUCUUCUUGACGCACCAUCUCCAAUUUAGCACGGUCAGCCAUGUGUCGCAAGGCUCUAAACACCGGGACCCGCAUGGUUUCGAUAUAUGCUGCGGGUGUGAGAACCUCUUCUGCGUCUUCUGGGACUUGGCCUUUGAUCUCGUUGAAAAUCCACCGUAUCAGUUUGGCAUCUUCCACCAAUCGACCGAUGUUUUCCUGAAGAAGGGUUCGCAUGUUUUGGAGCUUGGCACGGACAUCUUCUGGUAUUGAGCUCAGAGUUAUUUGGCGUGAUGCAACUUCUUCGUCAUCAGAGACCGCAAUUGCAGAGGAGAAGAGGCUUUUGUUUGGCGUGUCUUACUCCUGCAGGGAUGUGGGAAAGUGUUUUAGCCGAUAAAAGUAAAAAAUCGGCUGGUAGAUAUAGAAGGUUCUUACCUCCUUCAAACAAAUCUCUUCUGCUUGGGUUGGCAGAGUCGUUACUCCCACCUCAGAAGUUUGCGGAGGUAGCUCAUUAGAGGGGGAAGACUUGACAAUGAUCGGCUCUCUAGGCGUAGCUGAUAAUGUGCUUGGACCAGCCUCCUGGAAAAGGAACAAAGGAAUCAUUUUUGAGUAUAAAAUAAUACUGGAUCUAAGUAGAAGUCUCGGUUUUCUUACCUCUCGGACGCGCGCAGCCAACGGUAGCACCAGGGGAAUGACUGACGUAUCUGGAGCGUCCUGUGUCAAGAAUCGUCUGAUUUUAGUUAUCAGAACUGUGGAGACUAAGGGAAGAGCAUGUUCUUUACCUCAAUUUGAAGAUUUGUAGGUAACACAAUUUUAGCUUGAGAAUCGGCCAAUUAAGGAACAGUCUGCUCUAGGAUAGGUUGUACGGCCUGUUGAAAAGAAACAAAUUUAGUAUUGGUGAUACAUAUGAAGAAGUCAGAGCAGAAAGAUUACUCGUGUAGCUUUCACCAAGAGUAACACAAUCGCCGACCCAGCCUCUGAUGCUGCUAGGGGAUCAAUGUCCUGAAUUGCCGACAAUACAUCUGCUUGGAUUGGUGCGGCUGAGGGCUCGACCGAUGUUGCUGCCGAUUGGUGGGUUGUUCGAGUUGUCGUAGAUUCAGUACGAGCUCAUACCCUGCGACUCGUCUUCUUUGUGGUGGAUAUUUUGAGCUUAUGCUUCAAUCGGUUGGUGGCUAUGUCCUCCAUUGAUGGGGCGUGAUAGCCGAUGAGAGGGUACGGUGUGUACGGAUGAUGGGUCUGUAUCAGUCUGCCACUCUAACUGUGCGUUGGAGGCACUUGGCUAUCAACCUGUGCAGGGUAAAAGGAUAAUGAUAAGAAAGUUCUGCAACAUGUGAAAAUUAUUGGUAAGGAAUCGACAAAAAAGUAUUGUUACCUCUGCAUUCGGAUCAGUGUGAGCGGGGUCCAGUUGAUUGCAAUACACUGCAGGGGCCGCACAGGAAAGGUACUGUUUCCACUCGGCCCACCACAAUUUGAAUUGUUGAGUGGAGAAGGGGACCACCAGCCAAGCGCUCAGAUCGAUGGUGUCGGAAUCCGGUGUCAGAUUACACAAUCUGUUGUAUUCCAGUCCUUUUGAAAUCGGUUCUCAAAAUUUCACUCGGCCGACGAAGUGAAUCCGAUUGGUAUUUGUCCCAAGCCAAAUUGCCGAGCUGCUACCGACGGGUUAUAGAACUCAUAUGUUGGAGAGUCCUUGCCAGAGAAGAAAUUUGCCGGUAGAAUCCCAGGUUGAUCAGGGUGUCCAUGAUUCCUUCAUCGAAGGUAUCGGUAGCCUAGUCAAAACAGUCAGGAUUCUAAAAAGUUGGGUUCUCUCUCUGAUAUGGAUACCAAUUCGUCACCUCUUCUUUAAAGCUGUUGUAAAAGCAUCUAAAGUGCUCGGCUAUUCUUGAGGGGGCAAGCUUGCCGCCUGGGAAAGUGGAUACGGCUUCACUAAAGGAAGUACAGCGGCGUCUGGCCAAUGGGUCGGUUUCUGAUUUAACAUUAGGAAAGUCUUGGUCUCAAUCCGCUCCUUGAAGAUUUCGCUCAUAUAUAAGUUGAGCUAGAGAUUGACAAACCACCAAGGACCACCAGGAUUCCUGAUAGGUUCUCCAGAUGAUAGCUUCACGCCGAUGUGAUGCAGCAUGUAAUACACUGACCCUAGUAGAUGCUUUCCCAAAGGGACUGUGGCUCCUCUAACUAGUGCUUCGGCCAAAGCCUGUGUGUUGGAAGUAGGACUGGCUAAUUUACCACAGAAGACAUACCUUUCCUGCCACAUCAUCAAGAAGGUCGUGUGCUCUUUUUCUGUGUUGGGUCCGGUCCUCAUGUUCUUCUCAAUGUAGCCUUUCCAUGUGCUGAUGGCUUUCGUCUCCAGCCGAUGGGUGGGUUUGAUUAAGAAAUCGAAAGGUGAGUCGGUGGAGGAAACAUCGAGGCCAGUCAGCAUCAGAACAUCGGCCAGGGUUGGAGUCAUUGGCCCAUGGUCGAAAAGAAAUGCAUUGAGAGCAUCGGACCAAAAGUAAGAUGCCGCGAUGAGCAGAGAUUCUUUCUUUUCCAUAUGAGAUAGAGAUAAAUUUCUGCAAUGGCCGAUUUUUCGCUCAUCCCAGAAGACUCUGUUGGAAUUUGACAUUCUAAAAAACCAAUCUCUCCAUCCGGGGGUUUGAUUCGGCCAAGACUUGAAAGUGUUCGCCCAAUUGUCUAGUUCCAUGGUCGAUUGCUUAAAAGGGAUCCUGUGAGUUUCUAGUUUAAUCAGAUCGGUUGGGUUAGGAUCUCCCAUAGAGCCAAGAUCGAUGAAUCCAGGGGUGUUGGCCAUGGGAUGGUGAUUCUUUGCCUGAGUUCUUGAGCAAAUGCGAAGAAAGACUAAGAACAGAUCUAAAAUCGCGAAAAGAUGAGGAGAGCCUAGAAGACUUACCUCAGGAACGAAGGUCAUGGUAGCUAUGGGUGCCACCAUUGGAGCUUGGGAGUUGGUGCGGUCGGUGAAGGACGUGAGCAAGUCACUGGAGUGCGCUGGGAUGUGCCUAGAAGUGGCACGAGCAAGGUCGCUGGGGUGUGCCGGGAGAUGAUUCGCUGGAAAGGAAACCCUUUUCGCCCGGAGGAAGAUGAAGCGGCGGAAGAGAUGAGUAUCUGCACGAUGACUCGGGAGAAGGGUAAAUAUGAAAUUUUUACCACGCCGUCUGCGCUAAUUUCGAAAGGAGCGGUUGCCUACAGGUGCUCAGUUCGAAAAAAUGCAAUCAUCAAGGAGAAGAUUUCGGGAGCAAAGAGGGUUUUGCUGCAUUUAUUGUUGCGUCUUUUCUGAAAGAAGGAAUCAGAGUUGAGAAAAUUUCGGAGAAAAAGAUAUGUUUCACUAUGAAGCUGGGAGGCAUGUGUUGAUGCCAGUUUUUAACACGUGUCAGGGUCGGUGUCAAGAGGAGAAGAAAGUGGCCAAUGCGGUUAAACAAGAGGCCAUGGCUAGAGAAAUCGGUCAGUAAAGCUAUAGUGUUCUGACCGAUUAGCUGAUGAGAUAGAUGAAGACUCACCGAUUGGAAGCCAGAACGCUGGAUUUUGACACGUACUUGAAAUCGGUGUCAAAGAAGGAGAAAGGGGGGCCGAUGCGGCGGACUAGAAGCUACAGUUGGGAAUCGGCCGAUUGAAGCUACAAUGUUUCAGCCGAUUGGCGGAAGAAAUUGGUGGAGGCUGGCCGAUUGGGAGUCAAAGCAGUUUGGCCGGUUUGGGCCUAAGGUGGGCCAGGAUGAAUAUUUGCUGAAGAGACAGGCCCGUGGGAAAAUAAUAACCAACUCGAAUACGAGUCGUGUUUGUAACUAUUUGUUGUCGUUUGAAAUUAGAGAUAGAUUCUAGUCGGUUAGGAAAUCAGUUCCAACACGCUAUAACUAGCUACCUCGAGAGGCUUGUAAAAAAAACAACACAUCAAUCAAUACAAAAAAAAUUACUCUUUCCUCGUACUUUACUUUCAAGUCGGCGACUUCGCCAAAACCUUUUUCUUUCACGAGUUCGUACGGAUUGGCAGGGCUGGAUCUACAGGAUCUCCGGCCGAUUCUGUAAGUUCCACUUAUCGAGUAAUACUAAGCUUUAACUUCGGGCGCAUCGCUGUUAUUUUGUUUAGAUUUAUUCACCAGUUAUCGAUAUCAACUAGAGUCAUAGGUUUUACCUGUUAUUUUAGUUUUUAUCACCAAUUAUCCAUCUUGAGGUACGAACUGUCGGUUUUUAUUAUUCUUAUCCUUUAUCAUCACAUAGCCGAUUAGAUCUACUCCAAGUUUUGCUUCUGUAGUGUUGUUUAGGUUGCUGUAAAAGUUUUCCUUAUGAUUGCUACAUGAGUAUCGGCUGUCUUAUAGCCGGUCAUCUCUACGGUAAAUCGGCCGAUUCGCUGAUACGCUCUUCAAGACAGAUCGGAACUCUAGCCGAUCGAAACCCCUAGAAUUUAAUAUUCUUCUUUCCAUGUCAAUCAUUAGGUCAGAUUGACUGGCAUGCCGCGCGAACCGCACUAGGGCAAUAACUCGAACAGGAGCUAAGUAGAUUCUCCUGGGUCGUGUGUCCGACGCUGAGGGUCAUCGGCCAAUUUUCAGCACCAACACACUUUUGGCAUGCCCGGUGGGACCAAACAAGAUCCAACAUGUCGAAGGCUGCUGAGAUCUUUGAAGAUAACGUCCUUGAAGUCAUUGAAGAAAAUCUCAAGGACGAUCAGAAGGAGGAACUGGCGAGGGCUAUAGAAGAAUACAGGAAGACAUGCCUGCAAUCUUUCAUUCGUACCAGAAGCGGGGAGACAGUCAAGAAAGCUCCUCUCUCCACUUCCCGCCAAAUCACCGUCAUCGAGGACUCAGGGAAGAUGUCUGAGAUGAUUCAACAGUCCGUUUAUCAGGCUAUGAUUGACCAAUCCACGGUGAUGACCAACACUGUAUACAACGCCAUCAUCAGCUCCUUGGUUAGCGGCGUAGCUCAGGGGUAUCAGGGACUAGCGUAUGCUCCUCCCAUCGUGGCACCGAUCAGAGGCUUCUUAGCAGCGCCAAACGUGUGUCACUCGACUCCUCAACUAAUGCAGAUGCAACGUGGAGGGUACUACACUUCAAUGCCCCUGGGGUACAAUGGUGCAUCAUUCUAUCAAUCGCAAGAACCGUCUCAUCCUAUGCCAAUUUCAUCCAUACAAUCGCCGCUCUCAAACUCGGCGCCAUGGGGGGUAGCAGCAGCAACCGCCGGUCUGGAUCCGUCAACCAGUUAUGGAAAGUCUCCAGUCCAGGCGUUAUUCCAAUCGGCCGAGGCCGAUAGCCCCGCAAUACCAAACAACCACUUCAGAUAUCGGCAGGAGGACAGGCGCUCUAGAAACACUCAGGGUUGCGGCGUCGAUAAUAUUGUACGAUGAAGUGACAGAUACACUAUGUCAGCAGCCAUCGGCUACUCAGCCGACAACCCAGCCACAAUAUCUGCAGAACACUCCAGUUUAUCACCCGAUCAUGGAACCGCAAAUCCAACAGCACGUACCGAUUCCUCAGCCGGUCGUGCAUCAGCAGCAGGUUGAUUGGACCGCGAAGAUAGCAGAGGUAAUUCAAGAUCAGUUUGUGUUAAAAGCAAAAGUACAAACUUACAUGUACAAGACGCCAUACCCACUUGCCUACGAUCUGUUACCGUUCCCUCAUCGGUACAAAGUCCUUGACUUCACCAAGUUCUCGGGCCUAGACGACACGUUGACUGUCGAGCACGUUAAUAGGUUCAUCAUCCAGUGCAGGGAGGCUGCUACGCAAGAUGCUUUGAUGGUGCGCUUGUUCUCGUCAUCCCUAUCCGGAUCAGCCUUGCAGUGGUUCACUACACUGCCGCCCAACGCCAUCGUUACCUUGGCCGAUUUGGAAAAGCAAUUCCAUAAGUACUUCUAUGCGGGAAUCCACGAGAUGAAACUCUCAGACCUAACUAGCCUCAAGCAAAGAAGCGAUGAGUCGAUGGCCAGCUACAUACAGAGGUUUAGGAAAGUUAGGAACAAGUGCUACACCUUGGUCUGGACUGACACCCAACUAGCCGAUAUCACCUUCCAAGGACUCCUGCCACACAUCAAAGAGAAGUACGCCUCCCAGGAGUUCGAAAGCUUGAGCCAAAUCGUCCAUCGGCUGUCCGGCCAAGAGAUACACCCUUUCGACCAACGAAGGAACUUUCAAAAGAAGGUAGCUUAUGUGGAAGGGUCUGAAUCGGGAGAGAAGGCGGAAAUCGGCCUAGCAGAGUCGGUAAAAGGAAAAAAGCCGAUAUCAUGCCCGUUUGGAAAAAAGGAACCAGAAACAUUCGGCUUUGACACGUCAAAAGCCGACAAAGUCUUCGACUUGCUGCUUCAAGAGGGGCAGAUCAAACUUUCGCCUUACCACACCAUUCCGUCGGCCAAGCAGCUCAAAAAGAUGAAAUACUGCAAAUGGCACAAUACCACAUCCCAAGACAAAAAUGAGUGCAAGAUCUUCCGACAAUAGAUACAAUUAGCCAUUGAGCAAGGAAGACUCAAGUUCGAGGUUCCAGCAAAACCAGUGAAGCCGAUGAAGAUUGAUCAACAUCCCUUCCCCGCCAACAUGGUCAAUGUAGGAAGAAACGCACUCCAAACCAAAGUUUUGAUGUUAGAAUUGGCCAGGAGAAGCGGUGCAGUGGAUCCCAAAAAUCAGGCCACGAUCGGAGAUGUCAAAGGAAAAGGACGGAUGGAAGAAGAAGGUGAAGGAUCAGAAAGGCCACGUCGGCCUGUCACUUCCCAAGACUUACUCAGCAAGUAUCAGCAGCAGCGGGAAGAUUCAAGACGCCACGAAGAGAUGAUGCGCCGACACGAAGAUCACUGGAGGUGCCCGUUUUUCAUCCACUGCUGGGAGAAUAACCUUAGAUUACCGUCGGCUGAUAAUUGCCCUGAGUGCAACGGCCAGUAUCGCAGUGGUCGUCCGUUCAAUAGAUCACGCUCCAAGGAUCGAGGGCUAGAGCCAAUCAGCAGAAAGAGGCACGAGCAAGGAGAUCGGCGCGUUUCAGUGCGUGAUCGGCUGGGGGGUAGAGUUGACCAGCAUAAUCGGCUGGGGGGCAGAACCAGCGCACAUGAUCGGCUGGGGGGUAGAACCAGCGCACAUGAUCGGCUGGAAGAGAUAGCUGACGCCAAAGUCUCAGAUGAGAACCUCCUAGGGUGAGAAUCAGGCUGGGAGCGUGCAAAGCCGCCGAGUAAACCAGUAAACCCCAGAUGGUGCCCAGCCGGUUUGACUAAGUCCUUGAAACGGAGGGUCCAGCGUUUGCACCAAUGGGAGCAGCAAGAAGAAAAACAAAGGUAGGUGAUGGAUAACAAAGGGGACAGGUCUCGAGUAUGGCGUCCUAGAAGAAAAUCCGACGCAGGAGACUAAAAUCAUGAUUCGACAGCUGACUUCAGCAUGAUGUUCAUCUUGCCGAUGGAGUUCAUGCCUCCCGCCGACCGGGACAAUGCGAUAGAGAUAGAGGAGCAAAUGGCACAAUUGGCUCUGGAGCCAAUGACCGCCACUUUUGAGAAACCCGAGGAUUAAAAACGCCAACAUCUCAAGGCCCUGUUCCUCAAAGGACAUGUCAACGGACGACCAGUCACCAAGCUGUUGGUAGAUGGAGGCGCUGCUGUGAACAUCAUGCCCUAUGCUAUGUUCCGCAAAUUGGGCAAAGGUAAAGAAGAUCUAACAAAGACGGAUAUAAUGCUCAAGGAUUUCGAAGGCAACGUAUCUCCGGCCCGAGGGGCACUCUGCGUCGACCUCACCAUCGGGAGUAAGGCCCUACCCACUAUUUUCUUUGUUAUUAAUGGCAAAGGCUCCUACAACAUGUUGCUCGAGCGAGAUUGGAUCCACGCAAACUGCUGCAUCCUGUCUACGAUGCACCAAUGCCUUGUCCAAUGUGUCGGCGACAACAUCGAAGUAGUCAUCGCCGAUUCCACCUAUAGCGUUGCCACGGCCGACGCACAACAGUGGAGCUACGAUCACGUCAAAUUCAAAUAUGGUAGGGUUUGGGACACCAAUUUCCUAAAGGUGUCCGAUUUCGGUCUACAGCCAAUCCAAGCAGUCAGCUCUAAAGAAUCAAGUUAAAAUGGAUCAGUUCAUCUGAGAAGAUGGGAAGCUCGGGCACGGGUUUACGUCGGCCGAUUCAUUGGAGAUGGUGGACCUUGGAGAUGGCAACAAGCCAAAGCCGACGUAUAUUCGUGCUAGGUUAGAACCCGAGUAUAAGCAUGAAUUAAUGAGUCUUUUACGAGAAUUUAAAGAUUGCUUUGCUUGGGAGUAUCAUGAGAUGCCUGGUCUAGACCGGUCCAUCGUCGAACACCGGUUGCCUAUAAAACCAGGGCAUUGGCCGCAUCAGCAACCUGCACGACGUUGUAAUCCUAAAAUUUUACCUGAUAUAAAGGCCGAGAUUACAAGAUUAAUUGAAGCAGGGUUUAUUCGGCAAUGUCGCUAUGCCGAGUGGAUUUCCAAUAUUGUGCCCGUAUACAAGAAAAAUGGAAAGUUACGUGUGUGCAUUGACUUCAGGAAUGUUAAUCAGGCUAUGUCGAUGGAUGGAUAUCCGAUGCCGAUGGCUGAUGUUUUAAUAGACGCCACCGCAGGACACAAAGUCAUCACCUUCAUGGAUGGUAAUGCUGGGUACAAUCAGAUAUUAAUAGUCGAAUAAGAUAUUUCAAAGACGGCUUUCAGAUGCCCAGGCCACCUCGGUUUGUUCGAGUGGGUAGUAAUGAGUUUCGGUUUAAAAAAUGCUGGAGCUACGUACCAACGGGCUAUGAAUUAUAUAUUCCACAAGCUUAUUUGUGUCCUGGUGGAGAUCUACAUUGACGAUGUCGUGGUCAAAUCAAAAGGGUAUCAGGAACACCUGGCCGAUUUGCGAAAAGUGUUGGAAUGCACAAGAAAGCAUGGGUUGAAGAUGAAUCCAAACAAAGUGUGCCUUCGGCGUUUCGGCUGGACAGUUUCUGGGAUUCAUGAUUCACGAGCGAGGCAUCGAGAUCAAGCGAAAAAUUAUAGUUGCUAUCAACAAAGUCGUGGGCCCCCAGAAUAAGACUGAGCUACAGUACUUAAUCAGCAAGGUUAACUUCAUCCGACGGUUCAUAUCUAACUUGUUCGGGCGUAUUCAAGCUUUCACCCCUUUGUUGAAAUUAAAACCCGAUCAAGAAUUUGUAUAGGGUAAGGAAUAGCAGAAAACAUUAGAUGGCAUCAAACAAUACCUAGUCUCGCCACCAGUAUUGGUUCCGCCGCAGGCCAACAAGCCAUUCAAAUUAUACCUAUUGGCUGAUGAACGAGCUAUUGGGUUGGCGCUGGUCCAGGAAUGUGAAGGAAAAUAAAGAGUAAUCUAUUAUGUCAACAGAAGACUCCUGAACGUUGAAACUAGAUAUCCUCCGGUGGAACGGCUGUGCCUUUGUCUAUAUUUUUCAUGCACCAAACUCAGGCACUAUCUGUUAUCGGCAGAGUGCAUAGUCGUUUGCAAAGAUGAUGUGGUCAAGUACAUGUUGUCAUUGCCGAUUUUGAAAGGGAGGAUUGGAAAGUGGAUUCUAGCUCUCUCAGAGUUCGACCUGAGGUACGAAUCGGCCAAAGCUGUCAAGGGGCAAGUAAUGGCCGAUUUCGUGAUCCAGCACUGUGGACCAGAAAUUACUGUCGAACCAGCUCCGUGGACACUAUACUUUGAUGGGUCUGCGUGUGGGGCCGGAUCGGGAAUCGGCAUCAUCCUCAUAUCGUCUCGAGGGGCAAGUUAUGAUUUCUCUCUGCCGUUUGAGGCGUCCGCUACUAAUAAUCAAGCGGAGUAUCGGGUUGUUCUAAAAGGUAUCCAAUUAUUAAGAGAGGUCAAAGCUGACGUGAUGGAAAUUUUUGAGGAUUCCAUGCUCAUUGUAGAUCAAUUAACUGGAAAGUCUGAAUGCAAGGAUGAUAUCUUGAGGAUUUACUACGAAGAUUGCCUCAAGUUAUUGAAGGAGUUCAAGUCUUUGAUUAUUGAGCAUAUUCCCAGGAAUUACAACGAAGAAGCCAAUAGACUUGCCCAACAUCCUUCCGGGUAUCGGCUGUGUUGACGCCAGAUUUUGACACGAGUAAAAUCGGCGUUAGAAGUGGAAGAAAUUAGGAGAUGCGGCGAGAUACAAGGGCAACGAUUGGAAAUCGGCCGAUUGGUGCUACAGUCAAGGAUCGGUUGGUUGGUGCUGCAGUCAAGGAUCGGCCAAUAGAUGCUACAGACGAGGAUCGGCCGAUUGAUCCUUAGAGUUCCGCCUCGCACGACCCCUGGUUUGGGAUCGGACACGCCCGACCCUCCAAGGGAGGAUCUCCGCCUCGCCCGACCCCUGGUUUGGGAUCGGACGCGCCCGACCCUCCAAGGGAGGAUCUCCGCCUCGCCCGACCCCUGAGGUUUGGGAUCGAACGCGCCCGACCCUCCAAAGGAGGAUCUCCGCCUCGUCCGACCUUAGUUCCCAGGGUCGAAAUGAGUCUGAGCCCUCGAUAUGUGGGUCCUGAUCGGUUACCCCCCUUGCCAAAGAGGUGAUCGGCCGAUUAGGAGGUUGGAAUAGUUGGGCCGAUGUGGGCUCAAGAAGGAUUAUGAAGAUGAAGAGGGGGUCAGCCCAUGAAGCGCGUGAAAAUAGUACGAAUCGUACUUGUAAAUAUUCGUUUUCUGUUUAAAUUUAGGGAUAGAGUUCUAGUCGGAUAAGAAGUCGUUUGUACGGGGCUAUAAAUAGCCACCGUUGUAGAUCUGUAAUCAUCAUCAACUCAAUACAACAAACUACUAUUUCCUCGUACUUACUUUCAAGCAGGCGACUUUACCAACACUUUUUCUCCUUUUUCACGAGUUCGUACGGGUUGGCGGGGCUGCAUCAACUUGACCUCCGGCCGAUCUUGUAAGUUCCGUUUAUCGACUAAAUUCUAAGCUUUAACUUCGGGCGCAUCGCUGUCAUUUCGUUUAGAUUUAUUCAUCAGUUAUCGAUAUUUACUAGAAUUCUAGGUUUUACCUGUUGUUCUAGUUUUAUCACCAAUUAUCCAGCUAGGAAUCGGUAAAUUCGGCUUUCUUUAUACUUCUCUGUCUAAUCUAUUUAUUUUAGCCGAUUAGAUCUGUUCCUAGUGUUGCUACUGUAGCGUUGUUUAGAUUACUCUAGCAGUUUUCUUUAUAAACGUUACCUGGUAAUCGGUUGCACUAUAGCCGAUUUCCUUAUUACGGCAAAUCGGCCGAUUCGCUGAUAAGCUUUCUUGAGAUCGGAACCUUAGCUGAUCGCAACCUCUGGGAACUGACACGUUUAUUUCCUUGCCAAUCAACAGUUCAGAUUGGCUGGCUCGCCGCGCGAACCGUACCAGGGCAAUCACCCGAACAGGAGUUAAGCAGAUUCUCCCGGGUCGUGUGUCCGACGCUGGGAAUUCGGUCAGCUGAUUUCUAGUGCCAACACACUUUUGGCACGCCUAGUGGGGCCAAUACAACCGCCACCAUGUCGAAAGCUGCUGAAGUCUCCGAAGAUAACAUCAUCGAAGUGACAGAGGCAGAUCUCAGGGACGACCAGAAGGAAGAACUAGAGAGGCAGACAGCAUACUACCGGAAGACAUGUCUGCAGUCCUUCAGUCGCACCAGGAGCGAGGAGACUAUCAAAAAGGCUCCGUUUCCAACUCCCCGCCAGAUCACAAUCACCGAGGAUUCGGACAAGAUGUCCGAGAUGGUCCAGCAAUCCGUCUAUCAAGCUUUCAUUGAUCAAUCCCCGGUGCUUUCUAAUACGGUAUACAAUGCCGUCAUCAGCUCCUUGGCUAGUGGUGUAUCUCAAGGGUACCAGGGGCCGGCAUAUGUUCCGCUGAUUAUGGCUCCGAGCAAUGCGGCGACAUGAAGAUCACUGGCGAUGCCCGUUCUUCAUCCACUGUUGGGAAAGCAACCUUAGGUUGCCUUCGGCCGAUAAUUGCCCCGAGUGCAACGGCCCGUAUCGUAACAAUCGGCCGUUCAGCAGGUCUCGCUCCAGAGAUGGGAGAUCAGAGCCGAUCAGCAGGAACUGGCGCGACCAAGACAACCGGCGCCCUCCAGUACGUGAUCGGCUGGGGGGCAGAAGUGACCGGUAUGACCGGUCGGAAGGCAGGCGCAAUGAUGGGCCGGGGGCAGAUUUAAUCGACGUGACCGGCCAGAAAAUAGAGUCAGCGUCCACAGACGACUUGAAUAGAUGGCCGAUGCUCGGGUGUUAGAUGAGAACCCUUUAGGACGCGAACUAGAAUGGGAACGCGCCAGGCCACGAACCAAACCGGUGAACCCCAGGUGGUGCCCCGAUGGAUUGACCAAGUCUCAAAAACGAAGAAUCCAACGUCUCCGCCAGUGGGAACAGCAGGAAGAAGAGCAACAGUACACGACGGACGAGAAGAAAGGCAGGUCUUAGGUAUGGCGCCCCAAAAGAAACGACAGAGGAGGCGACAAAUCAGCAGGCGAUGAAUCGGCAGCCGAUAUCGACAUGGUCUUCAUACUGCCGAUGGAAUUCAUGACUCCUGCCGACCAACAGGACAUGUCAGCAAUAGAAGAGUAGAUGGCGCAAUUGGCUUUGGAGCCAAUGACAGCCACAUUCGAGAAGCCCGAAGAAGACAAACGGCAACACCUGAAAGCGUUGUUUCUUAAAGGGCAUGUCAACGGCCGACCCAUCACCAGAUUACUGGUAGACAGAGGGGCUGCAGUCAACAUCAUGCCGUACGCCAUGUUCCGGAAGCUAGGGAAGAGCAAUGAUGACCUGACCAAGACAGACAUGAUGCUCAAGGACUUCGAGGGCAACGUAUCCCCCGCUCACGGCGCUCUCUGCGUCGACCUCACCAUCGGCAGUAAGACCCUUCCUACUACUUUCUUUAUUAUUAAUGGCAAGGGGUCCUACAACAUGCUACUCGGCCGAGACUGGAUACAUGCAAAUUGCUGUAUCCCAUCUACAAUGCAUCAAUGCCUCGUAUAGUGGGUCGGCGACAACAUUGAGGUGGUCACCGCCGAUUCCGCAUACAGCAUCGCGGCAGCCGACACGCAACAGUGGAGCUGCGAAACCGUCAAGUGCAUAUCCGGGAGAGUAUGGGAUACUGACUUCUUGAAGGUGUCCGAUUUUGGCCUACAGCCGAUCCGAGCAGUCGGCUCUGAGGACUCAGAUUAAAUGGAUCAGUUCACCCGAGAAGAUGGGAAGCUGGGACAUGGGUUCACGUCGGCCGAUUCAUUAGAAAUGAUAGACUUAGGCGAUGGCACCAUACCAAGGCCGACAUAUAUUAGUGCAAAUUUAGAUCCGGAAUACAAAUGUAAACUGACAAGUUUGUUAAGAGAACUUAAGGAUUGCUUUGCUUGGGAAUAUCAUGAGAUGCCCGGAUUAGACCGAUCUAUCGUUGAACAUCGGUUACCCAUAAAGCCAGGGUAUCGGCCGUAUCAACAGCCUGCACGGCGGUGCAAUCCUAAAAUCCUACCGGACAUAAAGGCCAAAAUAACGCGGCUAAUCAAAGCAAAAUUUAUUCGGCAAUGCCGUUAUGCCGAAUGGAUCUCCAACAUUGUACCAGUAUAUAAGAAGAACGGAAAGUUACGCGUAUGCGUCGAUUUCAGGAACCUCAAUCAGGCCACACCAAUGGACGGAUACCCCAUGCCGACGGCUGAUGUACUGAUAGAUGCCGCCGCGGGACACAAGGUUAUUAGUUUCAUGGAUGGAAACGCUGGGUACAAUCAGAUACUUAUGGCCGAAGAAGACAUAUCUAAAACGGCCUUCAGAUGCCCGGGUCACCUUGGUUUAUUCGAGUGGGUGGUAAUGACUUUCGGCUUGAAAAAUGUCGGCGCUACGUAUCAGAGAGUCAUGAACUACAUAUUCCACAAACUUAUCGGCAUACUAGUAGAAAUCUACAUCGACGACGUCGUAGUCAAGUCAAAAGGACACCAGGAGCAUCUGGCCGAUUUACGACAGGUGUUGGAAUGCACUAAGAAACAUGGGCUGAAGAUGAACCCGAAUAAGUGUGCCUUCGGCGUAUCCGCCGGACAAUUCUUAGGAUUCAUGGUGCACGAGCGGGGAAUAGAAAUCAAUCAGAAGACUAUAGCGGCCAUCAACAAAAUUGUGGCCCCGCAGAAUAAAACUGAGCUGCAAUCUCUAAUCGACAAGAUGAAUUUCAUCAGGAGGUUCAUAUCUAAUUUGUCUGGGCGAAUCCAAGCCUUCACACCAUUAUUAAAGUUGAAGCCCGACCAGGAGUUCGUAUGGGGGGAAGAGCAACGCAAGGCAUUGGAAGAUAUCAAGCAGUACUUGGUCUCACCACCGGUAUUGGUCCCUCCUCAAACUGGUAAGCCGUUUAAACUAUAUUUAUCAGCCGAUGAACGAGCUAUUGGGUCGGCUCUGGUCCAGGAGUUCGAGGGAAAGGAACGAGUAAUUUAUUAUGUCAGUAGAAGACUUCUGGACGCCGAAACAAGGUAUCCUCCAGUGGAGCGGUUGUGCCUAUGCCUUUACUUCUCAUGUACCAAACUCAGGCACUAUUUGCUAUCAGCGGAAUGUGUGGUCGUAUGCAAGGACGACGUGGUAAAAUACAUGCUGUCACUGCCGAUUUUGAAAGGAUGGAUCGAAAAAUGGAUCUUGGCUUUGUCGGAGUUUGACCUUCGAUAUGAAUCGGCAAAAGCCGUUAAGGGUCAGGUCAUGGCCGAUUUCGUUGCCCAGCACUGCGGGCCAGAGGCUACCUUCGUAGAACCAGUACCUUGGACCUUAUACUUUGAUGGAUCGUCAUGUGGGGCCGGAUCAGGAAUCGGCAUCGUCCUCAUAUCGCCUCGGGGGGCAAGCUAUGAUUUCUCUCUACCGAUAGAAGCAUCCACCACUAACAAUCAAGCAGAGUACUGAGCUGUACUGAAGGGAUUACAAUUGCUAAGGGAAGUCAAAGCUGAUUCCGUCGAAAUUUUUGGGGAUUCCAUGCUUAUCGUGGAUCAGUUAACAGGGAAAUCCGAGUGCAAGGACGAUGUAUUGAGGAUUUAUUACGAAGAUUGCCUCCUGCUUCUGAAAGAAUUCAAGUCGGCAGUUAUCGAGCACAUCCCAAGGAAUCACAACGAGGAUGCCAACAAGCUCGCCCAACACGCAUCUGGGUAUCGGCCGAUUCAAGGCGCCUUGGCUCUAGAGCUCGCGGCCAAUGACUGGCGAAAGGAGAUUGCCGAUUACCUGAAAGAUCCGUCUAAGAAAGUGGAUCGGCGGGUAUGUUUUCAUGCUACCAAAUAUGUGCUACUGGAAGACGACUUGUUCUACCGAACAAUUGAUGGCGUCCUACUCAAGUGUCUAGGAACGGAGGAGGCUAAGACUCUGAUGGGAGAAAUCCAUGAAGGAGUGUGUGGAGCCCACCAAUCGGCACAUAAGAUGAAAUGGAUGAUUAGGAAUAAUGGGUAUUACUGGCCGACGAUCCUCGAAGAUUGCUUCAAAUAUUAUAAAGGAUGUCAGGAUUGUCAGAAAUUCGGGAAUGUCCAACGUGCGCCCGCAUCGGCCAUGAAUCCCAUUAUCAAACCAUGGCCGUUCAGAGGUUGGGGGAUAGACCUCAUCGGCCAAAUUUAUCCUCCGUCAAGCAAAGGGCACAAGUUCAUUCUGGUGGCCACUGAUUAUUUCACCAAGUGGGUGGAGGCAAUUCCGUUAAGGGCCGUGACAUCGGCUGCUAUGGUUGACUUCGUAAGAGACCAUAUCGUCUACCGUUUCGGCAUCCCCCAGACUAUCACGACCGAUCAAGGGACAAUGUUUACAUCAGGAGAAUUCGAGGAGUUCACAGCCGACAUGGGAAUCAAAUUAUUAAACUCCUCUCCGUAUUAUGCCCAAGCUAAUGGCCAGGUCGAAUCUUCCAACAAGGGGAUAAUUAAGUUAAUCAAGAGGAAGAUAGAGGAGCAGCCGAAAAAGUGGCAUCUAUGUCUGACUGAAGCUCUAUGGGCAUACAGGAUGGCUUGCCAUGGGGCCACUAAGAUGUCCCCUUAUCAGUUGGUGUACGGUCACGAGGCAGUACUACCAUGGGAGUUGAGGGCAGGAUCGAGACGCACUUCGCUCCAGGACCAGUUAGCGGCCGACGACUACUCCUCACUCAUGAAAAGGGAACUUGAUGACUUGGCUGGCCAACGAUUGAGAGCUUUGAUAAGCAUCAAAGAAAACAAGAAGAAAGUGGCCAGGUGGUAUGAUAAGAAAGUCAAAGUCAAACAAUUCUCUCCGGGGGACCUGGUAUGGAAGUUAGUGUUGCCGAUCGGGUCGAAAGAUCCUAAAUUCGGUAAGUGGUCCCCUACGUGGGAAGAGCCGUAUAAAAUCGGCAGAUGUGCUCCAGGAAACGCUUAUAUUCUGGAAACAAUCGAAGGAGAGAAGAGUUUACUAGGGCUUUGAACGGAAGAUACUUGAAAAGGUACUACCCUAGUAUAUGGGUCGGAGCAUAAGGAUCGACCAUGAUGAACAACACACAGCCAAUACAAAAGGAUUCGUCUAGAGAAAAAAACGUAAUCGUCCAAAUCGGCCGAUGUAUUUCAUUCGGUACGGACGGUGGGUUACACGGCCGACAAGGUACAAGUUGCCCUUAGAACAAAAAAAAAUUAAUCACGCUUUUUCUUAAGCUCUCUCUCAGCCCGACCUAGUUCUAUCAGAAGACGGAUGUACUCUUCUUUUAUCUCUUUCAUCGAAGCCUCCGCUUCGACUUGACGGGGGAGAGGGUGACUCCGGUCCAUGGCCGGGCGUGAUGUUCCUACUGCUGCAUCUUCAAGGACGAUUUGAUGAGGAAGCGGAUGACUUCUGUCGGCUUGAGGUCGCCGGUGGUCGUUGCUGUCCAGAAAGUCCCAGAUCCAUCGGAUGUCGGCAGGGACGUGCUCUUGGAGUUCGUCGCGAUGAGCUCUGAUUAAAUCCUUAUCUUCUUGCGACAACGGUUCAUCGGAGUGUACAAGUCCGAUGGCUCGUUCGAGUUCGGGGCUAAGGCGCCGUGGCUGCGGAAAGCAACAAUAUACAUAUAGCUGCCGAAAAGGUGAUUCCCUUCAGAAGAGCUAAACUAAGAAAGAGAAUGAAGGCAAAUCUUUUACCUGAUUAACGGAGGAAGAGGUAGAGGAUGGAGAAGACAUGACUGAAAGGCGCACCGACGUGAACAGGUCGAGGAAGAUGAAGCCGAGUUAGAAAGGUACUCUCGGAACGGUCACCUAGGCCGGUGUUUAUAGGAAAGGAAGGCAUGGAUGUUUGGUAAGACGCGUCCCAUCGGGAGUGUGAAAGGUAAUAAAUAAGGGGGCGUCGCGAAGGACGGUCAAAGGGAUCAUUAAAUGUUCGUACAAGAACUGCCAGCACUUUUACAGGUCACCCAGAAGGGCAUCGAUAGCUGCGAUCGCUCGACGCCGGAUCUGAUCGGCAGAGUCCAGGACCCGUUGGUCAUCCUCUGCCGAUCCGGGGACUUCUAACAUAUGGCGGUGGAGUUUGAGGGCCUCGUGAGCCAGAUGCUGCCUCUCUCGUUUCAGAUCGGCAAUGACAGAAGGGAGUUCCUGAAGCCUCUUCUCUUCGGCGUCUAUUGCUUUGGUCACCUGCUCCAUCUCCUUGGCAAGCUCUGCCCUUCGGCGUUUGAGGCGAUCUAUCGUGCCGACGAUCCCCGGGCGAGAGUCUUCCAGAAAGUGAAUCCGUUGAUGCACCUCUUGAGCUUGACGCUUGUACGUGUCUUCUUCUUCACGAGUUUUGGUCAACUUGACGCGAUCGGCCAUGUGGCGCAGGGCCCUAAAGACUGGAAUCCUCAUUGACUCGAUAUAUGCAGCUGGCGCCAAGGCCUCUUCCGCUUCUUCUGGUACUCGCCCGCUGACGUCACCAAAAAGUUGUUGAAUCAGCGAAGCGUCUUCUACCAAUCGGCCGAUGUCCUCUUGAAGAAGGGAUCGGAUGCUUGCGAGUUUGGCACGGACGUCAUCAGGAACGGAGCUCAAAGUGACCUGGCGAGAGGCGACUUCCUCAUCAUCGGAGAGUGCGACCGCAAACGAGAAAAGGCUGUUGUUGGGGGUGUCCUGUUCCUGAAAAAUAGUGAGUCAAGAAGAAGAACAAAUCAGCCGAUGAUGAUAGCAAAUCGGCUGAGUAAGGGUGAGAAAUCUCUUACCUCCUUGAAACGGAUUUCUUCAAACUGCGUUUGGGAGGCUGUUAUCCUCGAUUCAGGGGCUGGUACCAUUGGUUCGUCAGAAGCUGAAGACUCCACCAUGAUUGGUGCUUUGCUCGGGCCAGCUUCCCGAAAGAUGACCAUUGGUUGGUUAGGUGGGGCGCUAAGCGUACCGGUGACCUGUGUCAAAAGAUUGAAUAAGAAUAUUAUCCAAAUACUAGAAAAAUCGGUUGAAGAGUAGUAUACCUCGGCAGACGGAAGCGUGGGCGUGUUGAUGACCGAUUGGGUUGCUGCCGAUUGUUGUGAGUCCACAGAAGUGAUUUGUGUAGUCUAAAAUAAGAUGAGUCAGUAUAGAGAUGGCAAUCGGUAGGAUCAAACAACAAGUUUACCUGCAUGGCCUCCACCAGUAAUGAUGCAGCGGCCGCCCCAGCUUGCGUGACGACUUGAGUAUCUACUUCUCCAGCAGCUGGAAGGGGCAAUGUGGCCGAAGUUUCUGCCGAUGUGAUCGUAGGAGGGUCGGCCGGUUCUGUACGAGCUCGCACUCGGCGACUGGUCUUCUUGGUAACCUUCUUCUGCGCCUGCUUCGAUCGGCCGGCAAUCACAUCCACGGAAGGGGCAUCGUAGCCGAUAAGGGGGAAGAUGGUGUAUAGGUGAUGGUCCUCUAUCGGCCGGCCACUCCGACUGUGUGUUGGGGGAACGCAGUUUUCAGACUGAAGCAACAGCAAGAUGUUAGUGUACAUAUUUAACCGCAUUAAUAAAGGAAUGAAAAUCAGUUAGGGAAAAAAAAUACCUCGGUGUUCGGAUCGAUGUUGGCUGGAUCCAGGAGGUUGCAGUAUGUCGAUGCGGAGGCACAGAAUAGGUACUGUUUUCAUUCGGCCCACCAUAGCUUGAAUGGUUGGACAACAAAGGGGGCUACUAUCCAGUCAUUCAAGUCUAUGGUACUGGAGUCUGGUAUCCGGUCUCGCAGCCGACUAUAGUCAAGACCCUUGGUGAGCUCAUCUCUGAACUUUGCUCGGCCGACGAAGUAUGCCUGAAUCGGCAGUUGACCCAUGCCGAAUUGCCGAGCUGCAACGGAGGGAUUGUAGAAUUCAUAUGUAGGGGCAUCCUUUCCUGAGAAGAAGUUGGCCGGUAAGAUCCCCGGUUUAAUUAGUUCAUCUGUGAGAUCUUCGUCGAAUCAGCCGGUGGUUGAGUCGAAGCAAGAAGGGAGUUCAAAGAUUGGGUCAUCUCUCCAAUAAGGAAACCAGACGGUUGCAUCUUCAUUGAAGCCGUUAUAAAAACACUGGAAGUAUUCGGCCACCUUGGUAGCAGAGUACGAGCAACCAGAGAAGGCCGAUGCCGCUUCGCCGAAAGACAUACACCGGCGUCGGACAGUGAGAUUCUCUGCCGAUUCGACGCUGGGGAAUGUCAUGUGUUCCACUCGCUGCUGAGAGAUCUCGCUCAUGUACAAGUUCAGCCAUAAGUUAAUGAACCACCAGGGUCCACCUGGGUUUCCAAUUGGCUACCCUUGGGAUAGCUUGAUGCCGAUUUGGUGAAGCAUGUGGUAGGCUGCUCCCAGUAAGUGCUUUCCAAGAGGAACAGAAGUCCCUAUUGAUAAUGCUUCGGCCAGAGCUUGGGUAUUGGUAGAUGGACCAGCUGCUCUCCCACAGAAGAAGUGCUUCUCUAGCCACAUCAUCAGGAAGGCCGUGUGCUCUCUGUUGUCGACAGAUCCGGCCCUUUUGUUGCAUCUGAUGAAACCUUUCCACCUGCCGAUUCCCCUUGUGUCCAGCCGAUGUGAUGUUGCGGUUAUAAGGCGGAAAGGGGUGUCCGGGGAAGAAAUAUCCAGGCCGGUCAGGAAGACUACAUCGGCCAAUGUGGGGGUCAUGGGUCCGUGUCCAAACAGGAAUGCGUUGAGAGCAUUGGACCAGAAGUAAGAAGCUGCCACCACUAAUGGCUCAUUCCGUUCCAUUUGGGACAAAGAUAGAUCGAUGCAUUGGCCAAUUUUGAGCUCGUCCCAUUGGACCUUCUUGGAAGCGGUUAUCCGCUGGUACCAUUCCCUCCAACUGGGAGUUUCGUUCGGCCAAGACCUAAAGGUACUCAACCAGUGAUCUAGGUCCAUAGUUGAUUGUUUGAAGGGGAUCCUAUGGGUUUUCCAAAUUGAUUAAGUCGGUUGGAUCUGGAUUUCCCAUGGGUCCAAGACAGAUAAGGCCGAGGUUUUCUGUGAGACGAAUGGUGAUGCGAUGCCUAACCGCCUAAAAAGGAAAAGGGGGUGCGAGGGUAAGAAAUAGAUCUAAAGUACAUGCAUUACUAAUAAGGGAAAGUUUCGGUAAUGACCUCCGGGAUGAAGCUCCUCGUAAUCGGCGGAGUCGCCGGUGCAGCUGCAGACGAUGAAGCUGCCAAUGGGAUCUCGGAUGAAGCUUCAACUUUCGCCAAUGGAGCUCCUUCUUCCGUCGAUGGAGCCGUCGUUAUCGCUACUGGAACCUCCGCCGAAGGCACCAUUUCUGGAGCUUCGCGCAUUGGUGAGGUGCCUGAAGGUGCCGCCAUUGGAAAAGUAGGAGGCAAUGCGAAAGGAAGGAGGCGCUGGAGAAUUGGUGGACUAAGGAAAGUGUUGGAGGAAGAAGAAAGCCUGUGCACUGAAGAAGAUGGACAUGAGCUCGUAAGGAGUACGGGAUGUGCUGAUAUUUAAAGAACGUCUGAGAAGGGGUAAAAGUGGAAUUUUUACCGCGCUGGCGUUUUGAGUUUUUCGGGAGUAGUGGUUGUCGUGGGCACCCGUUUCGAAAAGAUUGCAAUCAUCAGGUUGGAGACCGCGAAAUGGAAGGAUGUUUUCAUUGCGUCUGUUUCGGAUGAGAAGUUGAAAAGAAUUUUGAAGUAAAGACUAUGUUUUACUCCGAAACUGGGAGGCAUGUGUUGACGCCAGAUUUUGACACGAGUAAAAUCGGCGUUAGAAAUGGAAUAAAUUAGGAGAUGCGGCGAGAUACAAGGGCGACGAUUGGAAAUCGGCCGAUUGGUGCUACAGUCAAGGAUCGGUUGGUUGGUGCUGCAGUCAAGGAUCGGCCAAUUGAUGCUACAGAUGAGGAUCGACCGAUUGAUCCUUGGAGUUCCGCCUCGCCCAACCCCUGGUUUGGGAUCGGACGCGCCCGACCCUCCAAGGGAGGAUCUCCGCCUCGCCCGACCCCUGGUUUGGGAUCGGACGCGCCCGACCCUCCAAGGGAGGAUCUCCGCCUCGCCCGACCCCUGAGGUUUGGGAUCGGACGCGCCCGACCCUCCAAAGGAGGAUCUCCGCCUCGUCCGACCUUAGUUCCCAGGGUCGAAAUGAGUCUGAGCCCUCGAUAUGUGGGUCCUGAUCGGUUACCCCCUUGCCAAAGAGGUGAUCGGCCGAUUAGGAGGUUGGAAUAGUUGGGCCGAUGUGGGCUCAAGAAGGAUUAUGAAGAUGAAGAGGGGGUCAGCCCAUGAAGCGCGUGAAAAUAGUACGAAUCGUACUUGUAAAUAUUCGUUUUCUGUUUAAAUUUAGGGAUAGAGUUCUAGUCGGAUAAGAAGUCGUUCGUACGGGGCUAUAAAUAGCCACCGUUGUAGAUCUGUAAUCAUCAUCAACUCAAUACAACAAACUACUAUUUCCUCGUACUUACUUUCAAGCAGGCGACUUUACCAACACUUUUUCUCCUUUUUCACGAGUUCAUACGGGUUGGCGGGGCUGCAUCAACUUGACCUCCGGCCGAUCUUGUAAGUUCCGUUUAUCGACUAAAUUCUAAGCUUUAACUUCGGGCGCAUCGCUGUCGUUUCGUUUAGAUUUAUUCAUCAGUUAUCGAUAUUUACUAGAAUUCUAGGUUUUACCUGUUGUUCUAGUUUUAUCACCAAUUAUCCAGCUAGGAAUCGGUAAAUUCGGCUUUCUUUAUACUUCUCUGUCUAAUCUAUUUAUUUUAGCCGAUUAGAUCUGUUCCUAGUGUUGCUACUGUAGCGUUGUUUAGAUUACUCUAGCAGUUUUCUUUAUAAACGUUACCUGGUAAUCGGUUGCACUAUAGCCGAUUUCCUUAUUACGGCAAAUCGGCCGAUUCGCUGAUAAGCUUUCUUGAGACCGGAACCUUAGCCGAUCGCAACCUCUGGGAACUGACAUGUUUAUUUCCUUGCCAAUCAACAGGUCAGAUUGGCUGGCACGCCGCGCGAACCGCACCAGGGCAAUCACCCGAACAGGAGUUAAGCAGAUUCUCCCGGGUCGUGUGUCCGACGCUGGAAAUUCGGUCAGCUGAUUUCUAGCGCCAACAGGCUCAUUUAUGUCGCCUGACACGCGAAUAUGCACUUUAACCAAGUCAACCUGGUCGACCGUCGGAUUUCAUCCGAUGAACCACUUACACAGGAUCAAGAAGCAUCGCUCAAACGAAGGUGAGUAGCACAGAGGUUACAACAUUCCAUUAUGACAACUUAGUUCCACAAUUUAUUACAUCAGAGUUUCAGAAAUUCAAACAAGUUGCAAGGUUCGAAAAGUCGGAUAAAACAAGCGAAAACUAAACGUCGAUACAGGAUAUCAUGACGAAGUUGAUCAUGACAUCAAAAAUCCCUACCCUCACCGUCCGAGGAGGGAUCCCACUCGAUUGUCCAGCCCGGAGGGAGCUGGGUAGGCCAAGUGGUGCCAGCAACCAAACUAUUGACAUGACCUGAAAAGAUUAAGCCAUAACAAGGCUGAGCAACUAAUACUCAGCAAGACUGACCCGUCGAGUGAAAAGCUUUACCAAGACCUAGACAUGCAAGGCUUUCUGGCUCUGGGAUUACUUUGCCAAAAGCAUCUACAGUCGGUCCUUACUUUCAAUAUUUUAGCUUAAGUUCUACGUUCUUUAACCAGUCUAGAUUAGCAACUUAUACUAAACAAGCAUAAUUUCCAAGUAGUUAAAUAACAAGCAUCAACUUAAUCUCAUAAUCAUGUUUCAUCGUUACUCAGUGCAGAAUAGCGAUCAAGUAGUCCCAAACUGUGAGAGACAGAUGAAUCGAUUCGAAUUUAUUAACCAUGCAUGGCGAACCUAAUCUCACGACAUCCGCGCACCACGAAGGGUCGCUUCAUUUGUCAGCCGUCCCCAUCGAUCCCUUAGGCACGUGUCAGGGCCAAACUGCCUUUGGCGUGCAAUGCUCCACAGUCCCGACCUCUGUCGUACUGUGACCGCCACUGCACCCACAUGAUGCACCAUGGGAACGACGUUCCAAGGACAGCAGGAGUAUAAGCCACGUCCCAGUUCAGUCAGGUACUAGGCUUCCCCAUCCCAGACUAGGUAUGAGAUUAGUACUUUCAAACACUUGAUCACGAACGCUGACACGUUUCAACCUUAGAUCAAUUUCCUUUAGACAGACGGGGAAAACCACCAAGUAUCGAACAUAAGCCCGACCCCGUCCGUCAUCCUUAUAGUUGCAACAUAAAUAAACAUUCAACUCCUAUAACUCGCGAGUGAUAGGAAAUCACUCGACUUUUACUGAAACCUAAUAAGCAUUGCAACUACUCGACUUUAGCAACUAGUAUUCAAACAAGGUACUAAGUUCAUGCAUCUACGGUUUCAAUCAACUCCUACACACGUAAAUGCGCAAACAUAAACAUCAACAUGUUGCAUAAAGUAAAACAGGGAAGUCAUGCACCGGGGCUUGCCGUCAGGAAGAGUUAGCGGGUCCUCGGGGUCUUGAUCCGGCUCAGGCUCGCCUUCCAAGUGGUGAAGCUCCGCAGCGGGGUCUUCCUCCGGUGUCGGGUGGAGCUCGUAGGUUCCAUCGGCGAGAUUUGCUUCUAUACGACAUGCAUAUGCAAAAGUUUAGUUGGACUCACGCGUUUAUUCAACGACACAAGGCUUGGCUUAAGACAAGGAGUUGCAACAGCCACAUUCACUUUGACGAGGUUCAACUUUCAUGCAACUUCAAACGAAUGUGGUCGGUUUAAACUUGAGUUCGAGUUGAAUGGCGAUUGUGUACAUAUAUAGUUUUCUUACACUUAGAGUUGCAUAAAGAGAAUGAAAGGUCGUGUUUGGGUGGUUUGGGUGCAUUAGGAUAGUUACUUACUUCUGAAUGUUUUUAUGUACCUCUUUCAAUUUCCACUUAUUUAUCGUAUUAGAAUUUGUGCUUUCCUUUUAUUCCUUUAGGUUGAUUAAUUAACCAAAAUGACUUCAUAUCCAAACAGCAGCUAAAGGCACUGAUAAAAUUACAACACCUCACUUAAGCCAUAGCUGGGUUACUCUAAAAUUUUGGGGGCCAUUGGAUGACUUAAAAAGGAAUUACAUGCAUUUUAUUAUUAAAGGUAAAAUGAGCUUAACUUUUUCUAUCUUCAAAGUUACUAUGCAACAGAGGGUGAAACUUAACCAGUGUGUUAAGGGUAUGUUACAGGAUCUUUGGCGAAUUUUUCAUAAUUUUUGAAGAAGGUUAACUAUUUACUCUAUUUCCUUUUUAAUUAAACAUGCUUAGCAAGGAAGGUGUUUUUUCUUUCCGAAUUGCACAACAAUUUACAUUUUUCCUGCAAACUUCACAGCAAAACAAAAUUAACCCAACUAGUUUCACAUUUUUUUGAGCUCUGGAUCAAAACGUAUGCAAAAAGGAAGAAUUAAUCUUAGAUUCCCAAAUUAAAGUCAAAACAAUGACUUAAAGUGCUAGACCAGAGCCCUAACCAUUUUUCUGAGCUUCUACACAUAGAAACAAGCAUCACAGAGUUGGUUUUACAUUUUUCCCACUUUUCUUCUAUUUAAUAGGAUUAAAAAGGCCUAAACCAUGAUUAAAAGCAUAUGAUAUUAUUUACAACAGUAACAUGAGCAAACUUAUUUUUCUUAGGAACUAGAUAGAGCAAGGAUUCCAACAAAAGUGGUUUGGUAUUUUUAUGAUUUUUCUACGAUUUACUGGGCAUUUACAAAGUUCAACCAUAUUUCUACCUAUUAUUUAAAAGAAAAGCCGUGGCAAACUUGCAGGUUAGCCCCUGGGUCUAUGGGUUAACUACGCAGAGGUCCCUGAGUUUUGCGCCCAGGCCCCUGGAAAGAAUGGGGAUGAUGCAAUGUAGUCCCCAGGGCGCGCGCGGCGGCGGCGAGGAAAUCCCCGGCGGUUCGUCGGCGGGGAUGGGGCAACAAGUGGUCGGAGGGGUGCGGGGGCUCACCUGAGCUCGGUUUGGUGGGGUUGGGGCGACGGAGAUGGUCGGUAGGGAUCAAAACACGGCGGCGGCGACAGAGCUUGGCUGGUGGCGGUGCAGGCGUCGUUCCGGCGCACUGGCGGCGUCGGGGAGGCCACGGGCUGCUCGGAGACGUGCGCGGAGGGGGGGCGAAGUGGGCGGCGAAGUUGCCGGAGUACGGGGUGGCGCGGAGGGGUGAGCUCCACGGGAGCUUAGCGGCGGCGCUGAGAAGGAAGCAGAGGCGUGGUUGCGAGCGGUGGCAAAGGGUGGCAUUGCCGGUGAGGGGGACCCUUUUAUAGGGCAGCGGUGGAGCGGAGGGUCGAGGUGGGGCUCCGGUGGAGGAAGGAUAAGGCCGGGAGCGGUGCGUGCGCGAGCGAGGCGGCCAUUGGCCAGCGGUGCCAUUGGGCAGGGGAGGCGGAGCUCCGGGUGGUCUCUGGCCGCGAUUGGCCUCGAGCGAUGCGUGUCUGAGGCCUCCGGUCUGUCGGCGGGCGAAGCGGAGGGCCACCGCGGGGGUUGGGCGAGCGGGCGGAGGCGCGGGACGUCGUUGGCGUGGUGGCUUCUCCAGCGGGUGGGCGAAGCGCGGUUGGGCAGAGCAGAGCCGCGGCAGAGGGAAGGGCACGCGCGCGGCCGACGGUUGGCCAGCCCGGCGUUCGCCCCGUCUUGUCGCAGGCGCGGGUUGGGCGCCGUGGCUCUCACCUUAUCGUUGUCUCGCCGGGGAUAGGGCGCCGGUGAGCUGCCGGUGGCCAGCGGCCACGAGGCACGCGGUGCGCGGGCGAACAUGCCCUGGCGCGCGGGCGUUGAGGCCCCUUCGGGCAGUAAGCCCGACCAGCUUUGAGAGAUCCUAUCUCAAGAUUUUGCAACACAACUUCCAAAACUCUUCUAAACAAACUUGUUCAACUCUGGACGUAGUUCAAACUUGGUUUAAGGUGCUGGUUUAGAUUGUGAAAGGAUUUGGAGAUAUCUCAUGCCAAAGUUUGCCAAAAAUAUGGAAAUCCAGACUUAGCCAAUUUUGGCCGGAGAGGUGGAAUUUCAGGAACUUAGCUAUGUUUGAGUCAACUUUAGGGCAGCUUCCAAGUUGAAUUAGACAGAAGUGUUAAUAGAGGAGUUGCUCUCCAAACUGAGGACUUCAACUUCUAUUUAGGGUAUUUCUGGAGUUUAGUUCAGAAAUUUGGAGGAACGCCCUCGCCAAGAGGUGCACUCUGAGCAGUUUUCCAGACUUAGCGUUGUGGUGCUCAGGGGCUGAGUUGACUGCUUUGCUCAACUUUGACCAAGAUUUUGAACAGGUUCUGGUUCGAUUUGGACCUGGGUCAUUGUAACAAACUUGGAAAACACUUGAGGUAUUACAACCUUUAUUAAGAGCCUGACUUGAGUUUAGAUAUGAAAUCGUGAGAUAAAGGCUUGCAAAGUUGGAGGAAAACUUGAAUUCCACGACUUGGAGGUUUAUAGGGUUCUUUAUUAUUCCGGUUUUGAUUCCUGUUUUUGACUUCCUCCCACUCCGAAUUAGCCAAAGUGACUUUAACAAAUAUUGUUUGAAAUUAAAAGUGUUACAACUCUUAUUUGGGCAAAAUUUUAAGUUUGUAUAUAAAAUCUCAAGUUUUAUUUUAAACUCCAUAAAGAGCUUCUUAGGGUUAAAAUGGUCAUUUCACUUCCUUUACUUAGUGAUUAACCACUGGUUUAUAUUUAAAGCACUUAAUUUAGGUAGAGUUGUUACAAGUAUCCACUCACUACUUUACCAAAUGGGUGCAGGCAGUCCCUCUGAAGACCGUGACGUUGGCCGUCAUGAUUGAAUUCAUAAGCGAGCACAUUAUCUAUUGGUUUGGUAUUCCUCAGACUGUUACGACCGAUCAGAGAACAAUGUUUACUUCAGGAGAGUUUGAGGAGUUCACUUCCGAUAUGGAAAUUAAGUUGUUAAAUUCUUCUCCAUAUUACGUUCAAGCUAAUGGUCAGACCGAAUCGUCCAAUAAAGGGAUAAUCAAGUGUAUCAAGAGGAAGGUAGAGGAGCAACCAAAGAGAUGGCACAUGACUUUAAGCGAGUCUUUGUGGGCCUACAGGAUGGCCUGCCACGGCGCUACUAAGGUGUCUCCUUAUCAAUUAGUGUAUGGAUAUGAGGCGGUGCUCCCUUAGGAAUUGAGGAUGGGGUCUAGACGCACGUCGAUUCAAGAUUAGUUGACAGCCGACGAUUAUUCUCUCCUUAUGAAAGGGGAGCUUGAGGAUUUGGUGGGUCAACGAUUGAGGGCCUUGAUCAGUAUUGAAGAGAAUAAGAAAAGACUUGCCAAGUGGUAUGACAAGAAGGUCAAGGUCAAGCAGUUCUCGCAAGGGGAUUUGGUAUGGAAAUUGGUAUUGCCGAUAGGGUCUAACCAUCCCAAAUACGGCUAGUGGUCGCCUACUUGGGAAGGGUCGUAUAAAUCGAUCGAUAUGUGCCAGGAAAUGCAUACGUAUUAGAGACCAUCGAGGGAGAGGAAUUUACAAGAGCCUUAAAUGGGAGAUAUUUGAAAAGAUACUAUCCCAGCAUAUGAGUGGACGCGUAGCCGAUGAUAUAGUGUAUCGAGUCGUUAUGGCCGAUUCCUAUUGACUCGUGUUUAUAUAGCCGAUGCAGGGAGGCAUCGCCUUGAGGACGAAACCUCUAAUCAAAUUGGCCGAUUAUUAUUCGGUACGGUGAUUGGAUACAUGGCCAACAUGGUACAAGUCGCCCUUAGACCAAAAGUACCAAUACAUCUAUCGGGUUACAAUAUGAUUAACUGCAUUUCAACUGGGCUUUGUUUUUAUUGAUCUCUCUUUGGACCCGGCCUAGUUCUAUUAAGAGACGGGUGCUCUUUUCCUCCCUAUCCGCCAUGGCAUCUUUGAGAGCGACCUGGCAGGGUAGCUGAUGACUCCUCUCAAUUGGCGGCUGAGGUGGCUCCCUGGAGCUGUUGGCUUCGAUGUGAUCCACGAUCUUCUUAAUGUGGGUCGGAAGAUGGUCUUUAAGCUCCUCACGGUGGGCUUUGAUCAGGUCUUGGUCCACCUGCAUCAGUGGUUCCUCAGAGUGCAUAAUUUCGAUAACUCGCUCAAGAUCAGGGCUGAGCCGGGUCGGCUGGACAAACAGCGGGCAAUCAGUUGUCGAAAAGAAUUGGUCAAGGAGCGCAAGGCUGAUCUCAUACCUCAUUGACGGGGGAAGAAGAAGACAUCUUGGCGCCCGGUUAGGGAUCUGAAAAUGGUCGAGCAGAGUGUAGAAGGAUGGAUGAGAUACGAGUGCCUCUGGGAGGAAUGUAGGGACCCCAUAUUUAUAGGAGAAAAGGUAAGGGGCAACGGUUGGCAAAGGCAUCUAUUCAAAGCAGAUGAAUGUUGAGCUAAAAGCUGCGAAGAGGAAACGUUCAAGUCCGUAUUCACACAAUGAUGGCAAAAGGGGCAUUAAAUGUUUGUGCAGAGGUGUUCAAAAGAUAAUUCAAUGUUUUGAUACAUUCAUUCAAGAAGAAUAUUAAUGGCCGCGAUUGCCUACUGGCGGAUCUGAUCCGCUGAAUCUAGAACUCGUUGGACAUCUUCGGCUGAUCCAAGAAUUUCUAGCAUGUUGCGAUGAAGCCGGAUGGCCUCAUGCGCAAGGGUUUGCCUCUCCUGCUUCAGAUCAGCGAUGACGGUCGUGAGAUCAUGAAGAUUAUUCUUUUUGGCGGUUAUAGCCUUUGUCACCUACUCCAUCUCCUUGGCAAUCUCUGCCCUAUGCUAUUUGAGACGGUCUAUUGUGCCGACGAUGUCUGGGCGAGAAUUUUCGAGUACGCCGAUUCGGUGAUGUACCUCUUGAGCUCGGUGUUUGUAGGAAUCCUUCUCUUCACAUGGCUUUGCCAGCUUGGCAUGAACGGCCAUGUGCCGCAGGGCUCUGAACACCGGGAUUUGCAUUGACUCGAUGUAUGUAGGAGGUGCAAGAGCUUUUUCUACAUCCUUCAGGACUCGGCCUUUUAUUUCGCUGAAGAUUUGCCAAAUCGGCGAAGCGUCUUCCACCAAUCGGCCGAUGUCAUCUUGAAGAAGUGCUCGGAUUCUCUGGAGCUUUGCACGUACUUCUUCCGAAAUUGAACCUGGAGCCACUUGUCGAGAGGCUACCUCUUCAUCAUCAGAAACAGCGAUCGCAAAUGAAAAGAGGCUGUUAUUGGGCGUAUCUUGUUCCUAUAAAAGUAAGAGAGGAAGGAACGGAUUAGCCGACAGUAGUGGGAAAUCGGUCGGAUUGGAUGUCGAAGGCCCUUACCUGUUUAAAAUGAAUUUUCUUCUGUUUGUGUUUGGGGGAUUGCUACCCUUGUCUCAGGAAUCAGCAUGGUUGGCUCGUCAGAAGAAGAAGACUCGACGGUGAUCGACGUUGUGUUUGGACCGGCUUCCUGAAAGUAACAAAAGGAGAGUCUCUAUAAGUAUGAAGCAAUAGUUAGAUCUAAGGAUGAGUACCAGUUACUUUACCUCUGUGAGUCGUCCGGCCGAUGACUGUUGGAAAGGUAUGAUUGAUGUACCCAGAGUGGCCUACAUUAGAAAUCGGUCAUUUUUGACUAAGGAAUAAGAGACUUGAGUAAGAUGUAUGUUCUUUACCUCAGCUGCAAGGAUUGCUGGUGGUUCGGUCUCUGCUUGGGAUGCGACCGAUUGCUGUGAGGUUUGCUCCGAAAGAAUUUGCGCAGCCUAACAAAAAGUGGAAAUUAAUACUGAUAGUAUACUUGGAGAAAUGUGAAGCAUAUAAAGUUACCUGAACAUCUUUUACCAAUAAGGAUGCAGCUGCUGAUCCGGCUUCCGUAGCGGCUUGGGGGUCGACCUCCUGGGCGAUCGGCAGAGUUGGUGUGGCUGAAGACUCGGCUGGUGGCACCGCCGAUUGAUCGGCCGGUUCUAUACGGGCGCGCACCCGGCGGCUUGUCUUCUUUGAAGAGGAUAUCUUCAUCUUCUGCUUCAAUCGGCCUGUGAUGAUAUCUUCGAUUGACGGGGACUGAAAGCCGAUGAUUGGAAAUGAAGUAUAUGGGUGGCGAUUCUCUAUCGGCCUGCCACUACAGUUGUGCGUUGGAGAGAGUUGGCUUUCAGACGACAAGAAAUGAGGGAAAUCAGUGGUAAUACUGUAAGAGUACGGUGUCAAAUCGGCCAGAAGGAUUGGUACCUCUGCAUUCGGAUCAAUGUUAGCGGGGUCCAGAUCAUUACAAUAUGUUGUAGGAGAUGUGCAGAAGAGGUGUUGUUUCCACUCACCCCACCAUAGCUUGAAUUGUUGGACAGCGAAGGGGGCCACAACCCAGUUGGCCAAUUCGAUGGUACUGGAAUCCGGCGUCAAGCUGCACAGCUGAUUGUAUUCAAGACCUUUAGAGAGCUCCUCCCGACACUUAACGCGGCCGGCAAAAUAAAUCUUAAUCGGCAUUUGUCUGAGGCCGAAUUGCCGCGCUGCCACUGAUGGGUUGUAGAAUUCAUAGGUUGGGGAGUCUUUUCCUGAGAAGAAGUUUGCUGGUAGGAUCCCAGGCUUGAUCAAAGUAUCCAUAAGCUCAUUAUCGAAGUAAUUGAUGGUUGAAUUGAAGCAGUCGGGGUUUUCAAAGAGUGGCUCAAUUCUCUGAUAUGGGUACCAGCUUGUAGUUUCUUCAUUGAAGCCGAUAUAGAAGCAUCUGAAAUACUCAGUUGUAUUUGUGGGGGUAAACUUGCUGCCAGGAGAAGCUGACGCUACCUCGCCAAGGAAGUGCAACGCCGUCUUAAUGUUGGGUUAUCCUCUGAUUCAAUAUUGGGGAAUGUCUUGGUCUCAACUCGUUCCCUGGAGAUCUUGCUCAUGUAUAAGUUGAGCCAGAUGGUGAUAAACCACCAGGGGCCACCAGAGUUCCCAAUCGGCUCUCCGGAUGACAGCUUGACUGCGAUUUGGUGCAUCAUAUGAUGAGCCAAUCCUAGCAGGUGUUUUCCUAAGGGGAUAGUAGAACCUUUUGCUAGGGCCUCGACCAGAGCCUGUGUAUUGGAGGAGGGGCCAACUGCUUUGCCACAGAAGAAGUGCUUCUCUAACCACAUCAUCAGGAAAGCUGUGUAUUCUCUAUCGCCGAUAGGACCGGUCUUCAUAUUUUUAUCAAUAUAGCAUUUCCACCUGCCGAUUCCCUUUGUUUCCAGGCGAUGGGUUGGUUUGAUCAGGAAAUUGAAGGGCAAGUCGGGGGAAGAGAUGUCAAGACCGGUCAGCAUCAGGACGUCGGCCAAAGUAGGGGUCAUGGGCCCAUGUCCAAAAAGGAAAACAUUGAGAGCGUCAGACCAGAAAUAAGAAGCUGCCAUGACCAAAGGUUCAUUCUUCUCCAUUUGAGACAGAUAUAAGUUUAUGCAUUGGCCGAUUUUUAGUUCAUCCCAAAGAACCCUCUAAGAAUUGGACAUCCUUUGAAACCACUCUUUCCAGCCAAGGGUUUCGUUCGGCCAAGAUCUAAAUGCACCUGUCCACUGGCUUAAAUCCAUUGGUGACUGCUUGAAAGGGAUCAUGUGGGUUUCCAGGUUGAUCAAUUCAGUGGGAUCUAGAUUCCCCAUGGGGCUAAGACCGACGAGGCCGGGUGCGUCAGAAACAGGGAUGGUGAUUUGCUGCCUAAGUUCCUAAAAAGGAUACAAAAGGAGAACUAAGAACAGAUCUAAAAGAUGCGUGAAUGGUGAAAAGUAAAAGUAAAAACUUUGGGAUAUUUACCUCUGGAAUGAAAGCCAUAGUCGCCUAUGGAGCCGCUAUUGGAGUAAACAGAAUAGGAUGGACGGAAGAUGAAGGAGGAAUCACCGUAGGAAUGCAGUUGGAAGAUGAAAGGGUGCCGAAAUGCGAUGGAAGAUGAUUCGCCGGGGAAAAAAGAGUUUCCCAGCUUGUGGAGAAGAAGCGGCGGAGAAUGCAAAUAUUUAAAGAUGGUUCGAGAGAAGGGUAAAGGUGGGAUUUUACCGCGCUGUCUGCACAAAUUUCGGGAAGAGCGGUUGCCUGCGAGCGCCUAGCUCGAAAAUUGUGAUCAUCAGAGAGAAGACCGCAGAACAGAAAGGAGCUUUCGCCGUGCCCGCCUCGGAGGAUGAGUUAGAGUUGAAAAAAAUUUGAAGCAAAAAGUUUCACUCUGAAACUUGGGGGCAUGUGUUGACGCCGGAUUUUGACACGUACUUGAAAUCGGCGUCAAAGAAGGAGAAAGGGGGGCCGAUGCGGCGGACUAGAAGCUACAGUUGGGAAUCGGCCGAUUGAAGCUACAGUGUUUCAGCCGAUUGGUGGAAGAAAUCGGUGGAGGCUGGCCGAUUGAGAGCCAAAGCAGUUUGGCCGGUUUGGGCCUAAGGUGGACCAGGAUGAAGAUUUGCUGAAGAGACAGGCCCGUGGGAAAAUAAUAACCAACUCGAAUAUGAGUCGUGUUUGUAACUAUUUGUUGUCGUUUGAAAUUAGAGAUAGAUUCUAGUCGGUUAUGAAAUCAGUUGCAACAGGCAAUAAUAGCUGCCUCGAGAGGCUUGUAAAAAAAUAACACACAAUCAAUAAAACAAAUUUACUCUUUCCUCGUACUUUACUUUCAAGUCGGCGACUUCGCCAAAACCUUUUUCUUUCACGAGUUCGUACGGAUUGGCAGGGCUGCAUCUACAUGAUCUCCGACCGAUUCUGUAAGUUCCGCUUAUCGAGUAAUAUCUAAGCUUUAACUUCGGGCGCAUCGCUGUUGUUUCAUUUAGAUUUAUUCACUAGUUAUCGAUAUCAACUACAGUCAUAGGUUUUACCUGUUAUUUUAGUUUUUAUCACCAAUUAUCCAGCUUGAGGUACGAGCUAUCGGCUUCUAUUAUUUUUAUCCUUUAUCAUCACAUAGCUGAUUAGAUCUACUCCAAGUGUUGCUUUUGUAGUGUUGUUUAGGUUGCUCUAGAAGUUUUCCUUACGAUUGCUACGUGAGUAUCGGCUGUCUUAUAGCCGGUCAUCUCUAUAGUAAAUCGGCCGAUUCGCUAAUACGCUCUUCAAGACAGAUCGGAACUCUAGCCGAUCGAAACCCCUAAAAUUUAAUAUUCUUCUUUCCUUUGUCAAUCAACAGGUCAGAUUGACUGGCACGCCGCGCGAACCGCACCAGGGCAAUAACCUGAACAGGAGCUAAGCAGAUUCUCCCGGGUCGUGUGUCCGACGCUGAGGGUCAUCGGCCAAUUUUCAGGGCCAACAACAGCUUUUGGGCAAAAGCAUAUAGGACUUUUAGGGGGUGUUUGGCAUGGCUCUAGAGCUGAACUCCGGUAACUCCAGCCAAUUUUCCAGCCAAACACCCUAGCUCCAAAACUCCAUGGAGCUGCAGUGCAAAUGGGAUGGAGUUUUGGCGCACCUCUUUUGUAGCUCCAAAACCACCUAAUAUGAACCUCCUCGUGGAGUUGGUGGGUAAUUAACCAUCAAUGCCACUGAUUAAAAUAAAAAUGAUUCACUUCUAUUUUCUCUCGAGACCCCUCCCCGCGCCGCCCGAGGCCUCCUGAUGCCGCUCUCCUGCGCCGCCGCCUAGCGCCGCCGACAGCUGCUGUCGCCGUCCGUGCCCCGCGUCCUGCGGGCUACCGCCUCGCCAUCCCCAUGAGCCCCCUGCACCGCCGUCAGAGCCGCCAGCCGAGCCGCUGCGGCCGGGUUUCCGCCGUCUUGCCGCCUCUUUCCUCAACUGGAGUGAGCCAUCAGCAGCAGCAGAUUCCCCUCGGCGAGCCACGCCCGUUUCGCCGGUUCCGUUGUCACCCUGCUGCCGGAGUGCCGCCGCCACCGUGAAAACCGCCCGCCCCCCGAUCUCCACCACCACGCUGACCACCUCCGUCCAUGCCCUCCGCCGGUGAGCACACCCGUAGAUUCCCCUCGACCCCCUCUUCCUCUUGCGCCACCUGCCCAAAACACCACCUCGCCGGAGCGCCAGCAAGCUAGCUGGCCAGAGCCCCGGUGAGAGGAGGAAGAAGGAACCUGGCUCUUUUGUGAUUGGGUCCUUGAGGAAAGCUAAAAUCUUUUGCUCUGUUCCUUGCUCCCGGCGAGAGGAGGAAGAAUAGUGGGCUUCUGUGGUGGAGGGCGAGAUCGAACCAGGAGUCAGAAUGUCAAUCUACCCUCAAACUCCUCUUUUCUGGAGUUGGGAACACCCUCCCAACCAAACACCUUCAUCAGACAGCAGGUUGAAAAGAGGCACAUGAGGCUCAGCCGCUUAGGCCCACGGGCAAAAAAAAAAAACUCUUACUUUAUGGCGGAGUAGUUGCUGUUCCAGUGUGCAGGUAAAUUGUCGCAAAUGCCCUCUUGUGGUCGCGUUGCAGUAGCCGAUAAGGCGUCCAAACGUGAGGUGCACACACCUGAUCUGAUCCUCUCAGUGGAAACGGGCCAGGUCCAUGCAACCCAGGACAGGAAGGCUCUAUACCUGGGCCGAACGGUAGCCCAAGAGGCCGACAGUAAGUGAGCUCACGGGUGACGAACGGCCCAGAAGCCGCCCCAAUCCGGCCACCGCCACUGAGCCGGCUCGACUAAACCGGAUCGCCACGCAGCCCGACCGCGCAGGCGUACUUCCCGAACUACCCCCGGAGAUUAUCCAAUCGGACGGCCAAGCGCCACGCACUGCCAAAGAAUUCCCCGAAAUGACCCUACUCUUCCCUUUGCCUCCCUCGCGUGCCGCCGGUUCUGCUCGACCGGACCAGCGGUUCAGGCGCCGAAUAUUCGCCCGCGGAUAUUUCUUGCCCGGUGCGUCAACUCCGCCGCUAUAAAUACCCUCAUAGGGCGGCCGCUAGGGUUUUAGUGCUUCUCUCCCGGCGGCGCCUCCACAUAUCGUCUCUCAGAUCGGGAGGCGAAACCAAGGUGACUGACCUCAUCCCCUUUCUCCUCCCUCCGUCUCUGGUUGCUAUAGCUAUUUCAUCCAUGCGCUGUCCUUAUAGCUGAUUAGUAUUUUUACUAGUGGAGUUCGAGUCGUUUUGGUUCCAUUCAGUAGUGCUUGUGUUGAUUGGAUUGAAUCGGAGGACUCGAAGUGGUUUGUGCUGCUCGAAUCGUAAGUUUGUUGGGCUAAUCUCGAUGGAAUUUAUGUCAAUUCGUUGGUUUAGUGGUCCUUGGCAGUUCUCUCUGUGAUAGGCCCGUCCGAUCUGUAGAGAUGCGGUGGAAUCCUGGUUUACUCAAAACGGUUCUAGAUUCCUCUGUUCUUCCCUUAUUUUUUGUUUCGAUUACUUAGUUUGCACGUUAGGGGCCUAUGAAGUUUAUGUGCUCGGAUCCUUUAGUGAAACUGAUCUGUUUACUCAGAUGUGCUCGGAUCCUUCAGUGAAACUGAUCUGUUUACUCAGAUCUGCUGGUAGCUAACAGGUUCAGGGUAGUUAUGUUGAUGGUCUAGUUUUGGUAGUUUCAUUGUCGAUUUCUGUCCAUUUUUGUCAUGUUCUGUCCAUAAAAAUACUAUCUGUGCUUCUUCAUAUCUUGUAAUAUGAAUUCAUUUGACAAACUAUGCAUUUCUUUUAGAGUGUUUGUCUAAAUUAAUCUUCUGGUAUAUCCCUAUGCCAGUCUGUUAAUAUGUCUGUAUUAUAGUGUUUUGUUUGAGGUGGUAAUGUACAUGGUGCACCCUGCAGUUUUUCAUGUCUAAUAUUGAAUCUCCUUGUUUGCUGUAUGUAUUAAGGAUUAGUUUCACUUCAAAUAGCUUACUGCUGAUGCUUUCUUGUUUGUUUAAUAUGCUGUGUAAUCAUGUUGACCCUGAGGUUUGUAAGAAUUCCUCUUAUUUGAUUAUUGCAUGGAUUAGUGUCCUGAAGGAUAUGGCUCCUUUGUACAAUUAAGAUAAUUCACUUUUUUUUCUCAACUUUUAUAUGCUUACUAGCCCAUUAGGUUGUGUAAACAUUAGAGUGCUUUAGCCUGGUAAAGAUGAGUUAAGCAUUUUAAAUAAAUUUUUGGAUUUGGUUGAUAUCAUCCUUAACACCUGCAUUUAAACAAUUUGUCUCUUUUGAUCCUGACUAUUACAGUGGGUGUUACUUUCUUUAGUCAUUCUGUGGUAUCAAAGUUUCUGGUGUAGUUGUGUAAUUAUGGUUUUGGUUGGAUUCUUACUAGUAUUUUCUACCUUUAAACAGCAGGAAAUUAUAUACAUAUUUGUAGUGUGAUCUUCAUAAGAAGUCAAGAUGGUGAAGUUCACAGCGGAAGAGCUCCGUGCCAUCAUGGACAAAAAGAACAACAUUCGUAAUAUGUCCGUUAUUGCUCAUGUGGACCACGGUAUGUUAAGAACAGUGUUUAAUUAAAUGUUAUGCAUACCUGUUCCUCGACAUUUUUCAGGCUUUUCAAUUUUAGCAAUUGUUUUUUUUCAGUAUUAAAUCUCUGAAUUGUUCUUGCCAGUGAAUGCGAUUCAUGCUGCGUUAGCUAUCACAGACCUAUUUUACAUAUGUAGAAAUAUUCAUUUCAUGUUGGAAAUAGGCUUAUUGUUCUUUUGUAAUUAAUGUAUUGGUUUAUCUCUAGAUAUUGCAGUGUAUAGUAUCUGUUUACUAUGUGUUUUAUAUUGGGAUGUAUUGUUGUCUUUGUUAACUUGUGAGAGGUUGUCUAUCCCUAAUGUUGUACUAUUCUUGAUGCAUCUUCGGACUGACUUUUAAGUUCCACACUAUAGUCUUACAUCUCAUUAAUUCUUUGCAGGCAAGUCUACCCUUACAGAUUCCCUUGUGGCAGCUGCUGGGAUUAUUGCCCAGGAAGUUGCUGGUGAUGUCCGCAUGACUGAUACACGUGCAGAUGAAGCAGAGCGUGGUAUUACAAUCAAAUCCACCGGUAUUUCUCUGUACUAUGAGAUGACUGAUGAGUCACUGAAGAGUUACAAGGGUGAGAGAGAUGGUAACCAGUACUUGAUCAACCUUAUCGACUCACCUGGGCACGUUGAUUUUUCUUCGGAAGUCACAGCUGCCCUUCGUAUCACCGAUGGUGCUCUAGUGGUGGUUGACUGUAUUGAAGGUGUCUGUGUGCAAACUGAAACUGUGCUCCGCCAGGCUCUUGGUGAGAGGAUUAGGCCAGUGCUUACUGUGAACAAGAUGGACAGGUGUUUCCUUGAGCUUCAGGUUGAGGGUGAGGAAGCCUACCAGACUUUCUCCCGUGUCAUUGAGAAUGCCAAUGUCAUUAUGGCAACAUAUGAAGAUAAGCUCCUUGGUGAUGUCCAAGUCUACCCGGAGAAGGGAACUGUUGCUUUCUCUGCUGGUCUGCACGGCUGGGCCUUUACCCUCACCAACUUUGCCAAGAUGUAUGCUUCGAAGUUUGGAGUUGAUGAAACUAAGAUGAUGGAGAGGCUCUGGGGUGAGAACUUCUUUGACCCAGCCACAAAGAAGUGGACCACCAAGAACACAGGCUCUGCUACCUGCAAGAGAGGAUUUGUUCAGUUCUGCUAUGAGCCAAUCAAGCAAAUCAUCAACACCUGCAUGAAUGACCAGAAGGAUAAGUUGUGGCCCAUGCUUCAAAAGCUUAAUGUUACCAUGAAGUCUGAUGAGAAGGAAUUGGUUGGCAAGGCUUUGAUGAAGCGUGUUAUGCAAACUUGGCUUCCAGCUAGUACUGCACUGCUUGAGAUGAUGAUAUUCCACCUUCCUUCCCCAUCAAAGGCACAAAAGUAUCGUGUGGAGAACUUGUACGAGGGACCCCUUGAUGAUAUCUAUGCUACUGCUAUCAGGAACUGUGAUCCGGAGGGUCCUCUUAUGCUGUAUGUUUCUAAGAUGAUUCCAGCAUCUGACAAGGGCAGGUUCUUCGCCUUUGGUCGUGUCUUCUCUGGGAAGGUUGCUACUGGUAUGAAGGUUAGGAUCAUGGGUCCCAACUAUGUCCCUGGCCAGAAGAAGGAUCUGUACGUCAAGAGUGUCCAGCGUACUGUUAUCUGGAUGGGAAAGAAACAAGAGUCUGUUGAGGAUGUUCCUUGUGGUAACACUGUUGCUAUGGUUGGUCUGGAUCAGUUCAUCACGAAGAAUGCUACACUCACCAAUGAGAAGGAGGUUGAUGCAUGCCCAAUCAGAGCAAUGAAGUUCUCUGUCUCCCCUGUUGUGCGCGUUGCUGUUCAGUGCAAGGUUGCCUCUGACCUACCCAAGCUCGUUGAAGGUUUGAAGCGUCUGGCAAAGUCUGAUCCUAUGGUCCUCUGUACAAUUGAAGAAUCUGGUGAGCAUAUUAUUGCUGGAGCUGGUGAGCUUCACCUUGAGAUUUGCCUGAAGGAUCUGCAGGAAGACUUCAUGGGUGGUGCUGAAAUUAUUGUUUCUCCUCCUGUUGUCUCUUUCCGUGAAACUGUUCUUGAGAAAUCCUGCCGAACAGUCAUGAGCAAGUCCCCCAACAAGCACAACCGUCUUUACAUGGAAGCCCGUCCCUUGGAAGAGGGUCUCCCUGAGGCUAUUGAUGAGGGCCGCAUUGGUCCACGUGAUGAUCCCAAGGUUCGCUCCAAGAUCCUCUCUGAGGAGUUUGGUUGGGACAAGGAUCUUGCCAAGAAGAUUUGGUGCUUUGGACCUGAGACCACUGGCCCGAACAUGGUUGUUGAUAUGUGUAAGGGAGUGCAGUACCUCAAUGAAAUCAAGGAUUCUGUUGUGGCUGGCUUCCAGUGGGCCUCAAAGGAGGGUGCACUGGCUGAGGAGAACAUGCGUGGCAUCUGCUUUGAGGUCUGU
rnacentral:lncRNA from 1 species